rnacentral:lncRNA from 1 species
UUCAACAAUGUGCAAAUCUUCAGGCUUAUGUCUCAUUCUCUCAUCAUAACUAUCAUAUGCCCUAUAUGUGGCACUGAACGUCGAUCGCCAUCCUUUGUAACGCUCAUUAGCGAUGCUCCAUAUAAUUUUCUUUUUAUCCUCAGUCUCCUCAAGGUCCCACCUUUCCUGUUCAAAAGAAAAUACACAAACCGGGUAAAUUCUUACACCAUUUCACAAUUAAGAUUGGUACACACCCAAAAACAUGUGAAGCUUACCAUUAUUUCAGAUGCUAUCUGUUCUUUAACUUCAUCCUCGAUAUCUUUCCACUUUCUCACUCCAAUAAGUGGAGCAUGUUUCCUUGUAUAUACUACGACUUCGUCAACAAAAGACCGUUGGUUACCACCUACAGGUCCUUCUAAUCUACUUGAGAAUUCAAUAUUCAAUUUCGUAGUGCCAUGCUUAAAUCUUUUGUUAGAUACAGCUAAACCUUUAAGGGGGCCACGUCCUUUAAACUUCCUCUUUUCAUUGCUUACUUGUCCUUCAAAACGACAUAAAAUGGCAUAGAAUAAUAAAUGUUCCCAUUAAUGUUGUGGAAUAAAAUUAAACCUUAUUAUUAUAAUUUUUUUUAAAAUGUCUUACCAGGAUUGACCUGUUUUUUUAUACGACGAGCAUGUGCUGGCCAGUGUGUUGGUGGUGUUGGAUUGCUGGCUUCACUUGACUGAGUACUAGGGUUCUCUGCAUAUGCCUCUGCCAACAAUAGAGCAUAAGUUAAAUUUAGUAUUUGAAGAAUUGUUAAAUUGACAGACAACUUGAAGAACCUAUGUCAUCAAAUUUUCCUUCGAGGCGUAACCAUUCACUGUAUGUUUUGACUGUAUCUUCUCUGAACAUAUCCUUAUAUUCUGGAACCAUGCUUAUAUUAUUGAACUGUCUACCGAUGAACUAAGAUGCAGUUAAUAACACGAGUGCAGCAACUUAACUUACCACGGCCUACACCUUCUGCAUGCAGUUUUGCAAGCCAGUCCUUGUAUUCAUCAAUUGGCUCAUUUAUGAAAUCUUCAUAAAAUGCUGUACCCGGAGGUAGUUUGAUGGGCGUUAUGGUUACAUUUUGCUCAGUUAUUUUAUCCCUGCUCAGUACUAAUCUGACUUCUCUCUCCUCACCGUUCAUUGUUAUCAUUCCAUCUGCAUCUAGUUCAUCAUCAAUUUCAAUCAUUUUUGCUACACCAUUACCACGACGUUCCUUAUAGUAUAAGAAGUCCCUCACAGAGUACCCAAAACGUGAUUUCAUUGUUAACAAGUUUCCAAACGUGAGAUCUUUUCUAUCUAUUUCAACUUCAGCAAAUUCCUGCUCAGGUGUUGCUCCUACGAGCUGAAAAUAUAGAAUCCAAGAUUAUGUUUCUUCUGACACCGUAGCAUUUUCCCUGACGACCACAUUCAUACUUACUUGGAUCAGUGGCAGAGGACAGAAUAUAUUUGAGGUAUGGCUAGCUGAUAGCAUAAAAUGAGCUUUCUAAACUAAGUAUUAGUAAAGAACAAACAAGAAUUAAUUAAUCUUGGUUGAAGAAAGAAUAAUUAAAUAAUAAACUACUAAACAAAGCAACAGGAUAACAGCUAGCAAUUUGCAGCGGCAUACACACGACAGAAAUUGAAUGGAUAAUUAUAACAUGAUAAUAUAUUUGAACCAUUAGUUUUCAAGAAAAAUGCUUCUAAAUCUUAGUGUUAAGAAUACUACCAUGUUAAGAAUUUGCAGAGGCAUAUCUACAAGUAACAGUACACGGCAGAAAUUUGCAGAGACAUACACGGCCAGCAAUAGAAAUUUGCAGAGGCACGCACGGCUAGCAACAGAAUAAUCCAGGAUCAUUAAAGCAUGAGCGUCGCUACUUACUGAUGUGAGUCCGGUCUGAUGAUUUGAGAUCCGAUACGACGUUGCCUCACGGGAUGUUCCUUGACGGGUUCUUGACUGCCGUCCUCUCUCUCGUGGUCGGACAAAGCAGGGGUCGACGUCCUACUCGCGCCGCCGAAAAGCACCGUCGUGGCCCCGCGUCUCAUCGUCGUGGGCGCUGGCGGCUGCCUCGUGGACGCUGGUGGCUGCCUCAUGAGCGCUGGCGAUGGUGUCGUGUACACUGGGGUCGUUGUCGUCGACGCAGGUUGCCGAUCGAUCUCCAUUGUCGCCGUAGCCGCCGGGGAGGUCUCCAUCUACUAUCCUUUGAUGAAAGCCUAGCUGGCGGCUGCCUUUCUGAUCGCAAUAGUGAUUAGAUUAAGUGUGGGUAUUUAUUUGGGAAGACGAGGGGGCAGGCUCCGUGGUGUAGGGCAGCAAAAACGUUUCGGAAAGAAGGCGGCGUAUUUGGCGCUCUAUAUUGUUUUCGCUCUUGGAUUUGGAGGGAGGCGAGACAGAUAUGCUAAGGAGGCCAGGUUGGGCAGAUUUUUUGGGCUCGAUGAGAGGAGGCUUUGGAAUUUCUAAAUAAAUUUGAACUACAUGCAUUCCUCUCCUCCAGUCGGCGGCAUAUAUAUACAUAUAUACGUCCUUCUUUAUGUGUGUGAGGAGUCUACGAACAUGUAUAUGUUUAUGGGUUUUUUACAUAUAGGAGAUAAAUGCACGUAAUAAACGAUUCAAAGUUUAUUUUCCUUUUUUGUGUAAACGAUUUAAAGUUAUUCAUGCUCAAAAAAUUUAAAGUUUAUUUUCUUUUUUGAAGUAACGAGGAAUCUUGAUUUAUGAGGAGUCUUACAUCUUAGUACAUGUAAGAUUUUAAAUAAUGAAGGGAUCAUAUAGCAUGACAUCGAGAUCGAAUGACUACUAAUAUUAGGGAUGAAAACGGAUCGGACGAUUGGAUAAGAUAAGAUUGGAUGUCGACAUCAUAUAUAUACGAUUUAAGAAUUUGGAUACGGAUACGGUAUCGGAUGUUGGAUAUUCGGACUCGGAUACGAACAGAUCUGAACCUCUCUAAACGAAUUUAAUCUCGAAUACGGUCGGAAAAUAUCCAUACCGUUUUCAUCCCUAGCUAUUAUAGAGCAUGGCCCUCUUAGAAAAAAACUCGCUCUUUUAUAGUGUGAUUUUUUUGUUUCUAUAAGCGUUUAAAUUUCUCUACUAAAUCUUUCUCUCUUGCACUUCUCUCACAUGGAUCCUUGUAUUUCCUCCUAUUCUUUUCUCGCUCUCUUCUUCUUCGUAGGCUCACAAAACACAACUCGCCGAUAAGGGCGAGCGGCCAAUCCCGGCCGAAAGGGCCACGCGGGUGGCAAGGGGUGGCGCAGAGGCAUGCCAAUGACGGCUAGGUUCGGCGCUAGAACUCACGGCUCCAAGUAAGCCUGGGCAUUUGGUUCUUUGGUUCGGUUCGGUUCUUCGCAAAUCAUGGAAUCGAGUAAAAUCGGUUUCGGCCAUGUUUCGCAAACCAGUUCUUCAGCCUUGGCGCUAAGCUUGGAUUCAAAAACCACGACCAAGUUUUCCUACCCAAGCCUGCUCUCUCACAAACAUAAAUGCAGCACUUUCAUGACGAUCAGCUUGAUUCAAUUUGGUGUCAACAUCAUCCAAGAAAUGAGCGCAAAAAGUCAGGCACUCCUCGGAGAUAUAUCCCUCGGCUAUCGAACCUUCAGGAUGUGCUUUGUUCCUCACAUAGCCUUUUAGUGUACGUAAAUAUCUCUCAACUGGAUACAUCCAUCUAUAGCAUACAGGACCUCCUAGUUUGGCCUCUUCAGCUAGAUGGACCGGCAAAUGCAUCAUAAUGUCAAAAAAUGCAGGUGGGAAUACCAUCUCAAGGCGACAAAGAGUCUCUCUGAUUGAAAUGCUAAGCUUAUCAAGAUCUGCCUCUAUUAGCUCCUUUGAACAAAUUGCAUUGAAGAACCUACUAAGAUCAAUCAAUGGGAUCACAACAUCUUGUGGUAGAAUACUGCGUACAAUUAAAGGUAACAGCUUCUGUAAAAUAACAUGAUAGUCAUGGGUUUUAAGUCCAGCAACCUUACAAGCUUUGAUGUCAACACAUCUCUUUAUAUUAGAGGCAAACCCAUCAGGCAUCUUCACUCCUUCUAGAAAUCUGCAUAAAAUUUUCUUCUCAUCCUUAGAUAAUGUGUACAAUGCUGGUGGCAUAGUAUAUUUAUUAUUCUCCAUCACAAGAUGUUGAUCCUUCCUCAUACCAAGAUGUUGCAUGUCAAGCCGGGCCUUCUCACUGUCCUUACAUUUACCAUCAAUUUCUAGCAAAGUACCCAGAAUGCUCUCACAAAUGUUCUUCUCAAUGUGCAUCACAUCCAAAUUAUGUCGUAUUAGCAGUGAGUCCCAAUAAGGCAAUUCAAAGAAAAUACUUUGCUUCCUCCAAUUGUGCCAUCUAUUUUCUUCUUCACGUUGUUUCCUCUUUCUUGUCGUUUUCCCAAAACUCACUUGCUCAAAGCAUUGAAAUUGUUCCCUCACUUGUUUACCUGUCAAAGGUUCAGGAGCCUCCCUCAUUUCUACUUUGUUAUUAAAGCUGAUUUUAUUCUUGCGCCACCUAUGUAUGGACAGUGAACUCAUUAAUUAUUUAGAAAUUGAAGAGAAAACAAAAAAAUAAUUCCGCAAAUGAAAUCUUACCUAUGUUUCGAUGGCAAAAAGCGGCGAUGUCCCAUGUAGCAAUGCUUCGACCCAUAUUUCAGCCACAAGAAGUCUGUAUCCUUGUUGCAAUAUGGACAUGCAAACUUCCCUUUGGUGCUCCAGCCAGAUAACAUUGCAUAUGCCGGAAAAUCAUUGAUUGUCCAAAGUAGAAGAGCAUGUAGAUUGAAAUUCUUCUUUUCCUUUGCAUCAUAUGUGCUGACACCAUCUUUCCACAACUCCUUUAGCUCAUCGAUGAGGGGACCGAAGUAUACAUCAAUAUUGUUUCCAGGAGAUUUUGGUCCUGGAACCAAUAUCGACAUCAUCCAAUAAGAUUGUUUCAUACACAACCAAGGCGGCAAAUUAUAAGGGAUUAUGAUCACAGGCCAGGUGGUAUAUGUUGUACUUAUCAUCCCAAAUGGAUUGAAUCCAUCAGAUGCUAGAGCUAGCCUAACAUUACGAGGAUCCUUUGAAAACCACUUGUACGUGUCAUCCACGUGCUUCCAUGCCGGGGAGUCUGCAGGGUGACGCAUUCUACCAUCACGGGCCAAUCCUUCCUUGUGCCAUCUCAUAUCCAAUGAUGUGCUCUCCCUCAUAUACAAUCUCUGCAGCCGAGGUAUUAGUGGGAAAUACCGUAGGAUCUUACGUGGAACACGCUUCUUUAGUGUACCAUCAGUGUCACUAGUAUCAUCACCCUUUGCAGCACCUUCAUCCUUCCACCUAGACUCACCGCAUGUUGGACACUUAUCUAGUUUUUCAUUUUCCUUCCAAAAUAAUACACAAUCAUUCUCACAAGCGUGUAUCUUUUCAUAGUCUAGACCCAGCUCUUGAACAACCCUCUGCACUUUCUCCAAUGUGUUUGGGACACAGUGGCCUUCAGGUAGCACAACUGAGAAUAAAUUUAGUAUGCUCCUCAAGGCAGUGUUACUAAUACCAUGCAUGCACUUAAUCUGAAACAAUCUCACAAUAAAAGAAACCUUGGUAGCCUCCUUGCAACCUGGAUACAAUUCUUGUCUUGCCUCCUCUAAUAAUUUAUAGAACUUCUUGGCACGCUCAUUUGGCUCUUCAUCUGGACCUUGGAUAAUGUUUCCAUGUAUAGUAGCCCUGAUAAGUGUUCCAACCAGCUCAGUGCCAGGAUCAACGUCAUGUCCUUCAUCAUCUUCUACUGAUCCUUCAAGAUUAGAUGGGCUGCCUUCAUCACUUGGAUGUUCGCCUUCUGAGAUGAAACUUUCAUCAAAGCGAUUAUCGAGAACAUGUCGGUGAACCUCACGUCGUGUCUUCCAAACCAUGCAUCGACAUUUAGCACACGGACACUUAGCAGUUGAUGUGCCAUCAAAUGUGAUACGAAUAUAUUUCUGGAAUUUGUCCUGCCAAAUAGGGUUAGACCUAUCCAUGCGCAUCCAACUCCUAUCAUCAUGCCGUGACAUUUUAUUAUGCUCCAAAUAAAUUUCUGCACAAAAAUUUGGAUAUACAUAAGUAAAAUCACAAAAUACUGGCAAGAAGUAUAUAUAUAUAAGUAAAUAUACGUAAGUAAAUUUCUGCACAAAAAUAAUAUGUGUAUCGAAUGUAAUGACAAGAAGUAUAUAUAUAUAUAUAUAUAUAUAAAAUCACAAAAUACUGGCAAGAAGUAUAUAUAUAAGUAAAUAUACGUAAGUAAAUUUCUGCACAAAAAUAAUAUGUGUAUCGAAUGUAAUGACAAGAAGUAUAUAUAUAUAUAUAUAUAUAUAUAUAUAUAUAUAUAUAUAUAUAUACUGGCAGCAAUCAAAUCAUCAAGAUGAUGAAGAUGGAGAAAGGUGUGCAAACAACACACUGCAGGCACGCUGCCUCUCGCUGAUCACUUUGCGUCGCCUCCGAUCCUUUACACAAAUCAAUUGAAUGGAUUACGAGCCAGCUAGCAGCGGCCAUGUAUAUGAUCGACUUAUUAAGGCCAUGAUCAACUUAAUUAACAUGAUCUUUCACCAAAAAACCAUAAUUUAAGGCCAUGAUCAACUUAAUUAACAUGAUCUUGUGCAAAAAAAUAUUAAUUAACAUGAUCAAAUUAGCAGUGCCCUAGCUAGCAGCAUGAUCAACUUAGCAGCACCCUACCAGCAUGCAGCCACCGGCCAUGAUCAACUUAAUUAAUAUGAUGCAUGUGCCCUAGAAAACGUUGUUGCCAUAUGCAUGUACGUACUCACCCUGCGCACCACAUGGCUUCAAGAUAAAAGAAUUACACUUACUAGAUCAAUUUGUGUACAUACACAAUUCACAACAGAUUAUAACUAAAUAAAUUAGGGUCUGGGCACCAGGAAGUUUACCAGGCGAUCACGUUGCCUUGGCGAUGUUCUGAUCUGCGGCUGCGAUUGGGGCUGGACUACUCUCUGUCUCAAGACUGAAGCCAAGGAGACCGACAAAGUCGUGAACGGCGUCGGCGGCGCUAUUGGCGUAUUGCCGCUUAGGAUAGAAGGCUCAAGCGACGGACAUGAAACCAACUAGAAUUGUUAUGUGGACUCUCUUUAGGCAGGGCCCCACGCCCUAAGUAUGUAACACCCGGUAGUAUUAGUAUUUGGACCAAUAUUGAAUCGUUGCUGGUCUCUAAUUCCAAUUCUUGGCUUUUCUGAGAAGGAUCGAGCCCACAUUAAAAAAAGAGAAAAAAAAAUGCUAGCAUACGCCAAGAAGGCACACGUACAUGCAAACACAUGACUCGACUCCGCGAGUCCAGAGCCUUGUUUACUUUCAAAAAAUUUUGCAAUUUUUUUCAAAAUUCUCAGCACAUCGAAUUUUACGGCACAUGUAUGAAGCAUUAAAUAUAGAUAGAAAAAUAUCUAAUUGCACAGUUUGCUUAUAAUUUACGAGACGAAUCUUUUGAACCCACUUAGUAAUGAUUGGACAAUAUUUGUCAAAUACAAAUAAAAAUGUUACAAUAUUUAUUUUGCAAAAAAAAAUUGCAACUAAACAAGGCUGUCCGCGGCGGUAACACGGGUUGGCGGCGGACGCGAGUCGUGCGAGCGCGCCGCGUGGCACACGGUUGCUGCACGAUGGGCGAGACGAGAUCACGAUGCAAAAGGGUUGCAGUCUCCACGACUCGCCGACUCCGCCUGACCCUAACGAGCGACGACCAGUCAAUGAUCGACGAUGAGCCACACUAUAAAGGGCCCCGGAUAUUUGUUUCGCCCCAGGCCUCAAAAACUCAAGGCCGACGCUGCUCACAUAUAUUAUUGUAUAAAUUCAAACUAGGCCAGCCCCAAGCUCUGCCUUUGGGUGGGCUAUGCUGUCUCCCAGGAAGCUCAACAUGAAAAACAGCCCAUAGUACUGCCAUGCCGCGCCUAGGACAAAGGCUAGUUCCGUGGCCCUAAGAGACAUGGCUCAGGAGGCACGACGUGUCAUGCCAACCCGACCCAUUCGGCCCGUGUCGACCAACCAUAGUCCGUUGGCCAUCUAUGCCUAGUGCUGGCUCCGCCUAUGAGUUGGCAAGGGAGGCGUGACAAUAGUAACGGCCAAUUGAUGGCUAUUCAUACGCUUAGGCCCUUUUGCUAUACAUAGUGCCAUAGAUGGCCAUCGGACCGUACCGGCCCGGCUCGGCAUGUCGUGUCGUGUCAUGCCUGCAUCGUGCCACGCCAUGCUGUCGUGCUAUCGUGUCGUGCCAUCACCGUGCCUCGUGCCAGGGAUACGAGCCAAGGCACGGUCCGUGGGCCGUCGGGACGGCCCAAAGGCACGACGGGCCAUCGGGCCAAGCUCAUGCCAGAUGCUGCAGCAGGCUAGUAGGAUGUUUGCAUAGGCUAGUAGUAGGCCAGCAGGUCUAUAUUUUCUUUUUAUUUUUUAAAUUAGCAGGCUACAUUUCUUACCAGGCCACUCAAGAUGGUUUUAGAUGGGCUAGUAGGUCUAUAUUUUUUUGAGAAUUAGCAGAUUACAUUUUUAAUGGGCCAUUAAGCACCGGGCCGUCGGGCCGUGCCUGAGCCAUGCCACGGGCCACGGUGGCGGCCCAGGCACGGCCUAGUUCCUCGGGCCAUGCCGGCCUAGGCUCGGUAGCUGUCGAGCCGGGCCAAAAUGCCGGGCCGCGAGCUAGGCCAACAGGCCAUGUGCUACACGGCCAACUAUACAUAAAGCCCACAAAAUACAGGUAUUUUCUACAAUGGGAUUUUAUAGCAACCAAACCAACUUGUGGCAAUAGCAACAAGCUAUUGCAUCGCUUUAGAUAUUUAGUUGCAAUAAACAGCUAUCUAUUGCAAUGGUCAUGAUAAAUAUUACAACAAAAUAAAACUAUGGCAGUAGCAACACACUAUUGCAUCGCCAUGAAAAUUACCGAUUGCAACAGUCGUGGUAAAUAUUACAACAAACAAAAAUGGUGGCAACAGAAAUAAUCUAUUGCAUCGCCUUGAAAAUUUAGUUGCAAUACAUAGUCUACCUUUUGCAAUAGCCGUGAUAAAUAUUACAACCCGACAACACUGUGGCAAUAAUGUCAAGCAGUGGCAACACUGUUCUAUAUGGUUGCAAGAGCACCUGGCAUUUGCAAUGCUAAUUAGUACUAAUGCAACACAAUGUCAUCAUGGCAAUAUUUUGAACCUGUAGCAACACACUUCACAAAAGAGUUGCUAUAGGUCUAACCUCUUGCAACGACAAAGGUAAAUAUUGCGACCCACUAUUUUUGUGGCAACACAGUCACCUUGUUGCUACGCUUUUGGAGAAAUGUUGCAAAUCACACCCCUAUCACAACAUAAUUUGUGGCGUUGUAAAGGGCAUCAUGUGGCAAUAGGGUCAAAAUCUAGUAGUGUUCGGCUAUCUAGCUGAAUUAUUUUUUUCCUAGUUAACUAUUUGUUUCGCUUGAUCGCCAUAGCGCAUCUGGUGUGAAGCUGAGUGCUUUUUUUUUAUGUCUAACAAGUAACAACGAUUAGACCCUAAGGCCGAUUGGUUUUGUCAUGCUUGCUACGGCUUGCCACUCUAAUAAUAGAUAGUACAUACAUACUCCGCCAUCUCAAAAAUACUUGACCUUAUAUGAUUCAAAUUUUAUCCUAAAAUACUUGACACUCUUAGUUUUCAGUGUGCCUUUCUCUUCUACCAAUACAUCCUUUUCUUUUUCUAAAAUACACCUCUAUCUUUGUUUCUCUAUAUCUCUCUCCUUGUUUCCUGUGUACAAUACCUUUUCACUUUUCCUCAGUUUCCUUGUCCAAACCUAAAACAUCAUCUAUUUCAGGAUGGAAGAAGUAUGACCAAAAUAAUAAGGUUUUAGUCAACUAUAUUGAGUCACUUGUUUCCAUUUGUUUUAGACCGUGCAAGCGCCUUGGCAUGACGACCUGGUUCUUCCACCUUUUUUUGAGAGAUUUUGAAAAAAAGAGGGAAAGAGGUCUAUCGGAGCUAACUUUUCCUACCAAAUUCUCUUUAUAACUGUUUAUAGGGAAAGAGAAUCGAGUGUUCUCAAUCUCAUGGAGAUACUCUUAUGAAGAUUCACUACGCAUGUAUGUACGUAUGUACAUAUGCAUGUAUGUAUGUGAAGCAAACUCUAGCAAUCACUAGCUUGAUUUUGGCUGCAAUGUAUACGUGUCUCUCAAGUAGCAUGGAUCAUCAUUCGAGUAUAUUACUUGGUGUGUCUAUUAUGAGCUCUGGUAUGGCUUACCUUAUUUUAGUGCCAUCAACAAUGUCUAGCUCCAACGAGAAAAGAUAGCUGCAGCAAGAAAAGAUAGCUCCAUCCGAGCUUAUUUGAAAAUUUUCAUAUGUUGAAUUUCAAUUGUGAAACCUUAAAACAUAAUUUUAGGCCUUAAAUUAUUUAAAAUAGAGAAGUCAUCAACUAUAAUGUUGUAUAGAUCUUUGAGUACUACAACUUUGAUAUAGAAUUUAUCUUUAUACAACUAAAUUUAGAAAAAAAAAUAUGAAUUUAAUUAUGUUGCAGCAAUUUUGAGGUGGACCAAAUUGCCAACCCACUCUAGAAAUCUAUUUCUAGAGAUGACUUGAAUUUCCAAGGUAUUCUAAAGGUGGUUGGGAAGCAUUACCACCUCUAAAAAUGGCAAUUUUAGCGGGUAUUUCUAAAGACGGUCGUGCCGCUUUUAAAAAAUGAUUUUCUAGAGGUGGGCUGGCUCAAAAACCUUUUUUAGAGGCAGAUUUUGAUAAAGUCAUCUCUAACCCACCGCCCCCCCCCCCCCCCACCACCCCCAAAAAGGAGAUGCCUCUAAAAAUGAAUUUUGAGGUUGCAGCUGCAGACGGGUUCUUCCAAACAAGAAAGUGGCAAGGAAGUACCUACCAGGUUAUUUGGAAGUAGCUCAUAUUUAGUACUAUGAUGAAGUUUAAAAAAAACAACUCAGAAAUAAAAUCCGACCAAAAGAGUUGGCAUCUAUAUUUAGUAGAACUGGUCAUCCUCAUAUGCAUGUUCAUUGUAUGCCGAGGUUCUUCUGAAUAUUGCAUACCAUGGUCCUUCUGAUUAUUUUACCAUUAAUGACAACUUGGUUUAGUAACUAGUUUUGAUUAUUUGUCUAUCAUCAAAGCCAAAACAUGGGGAUUUCAAGUAAUAAAAAGGGAAGGCAGAAUAACUCCAACUAUGAACCAUAAAAAUGUACUUUUCCUAAUUCUGAAUUUUUCCAUUGUUCCAUUUUUAUUUAUCUAAAACUACUGUUGUCGUUUAUGAAUAUUUGUAGGUCAGAAAGUGGCUUAAAUCAGUGUGAAGCACUUUCCAUCGAUCAUCCUUCACAUAGAUCAUCCUGUGAAGGCUAAAGGUAAAAAGAAGGUGAAACCUACAAGGAAGAAGCAAGGGCUAAAUAAAAAAGGAUUUAAACAUUCUAAAUGUGCCACUCUGAAUCUAAAAAGGGCAAGGUAGCUGAAUUUUUUUUAAGGCUAAGGAAGGAAUUUUCUCCUGCUUCUACCGUAUUUGUAGUUUAGAAGUUGCAGUGGCAGCUUCAGCUGAUGUGGCUUAUAUCAUAUUAGAAAAUUUCAAUUUCUGCAAACAAAAUUCUAGCAUACUCCUAUUAAGUAAAGGAAAACUAAUAGUAGUAUACAGCCUGAUGAGACAAAGACCAGCCUCAUUUCAUUCUUGUACUCUCAUUAGAUAAUCAUUUAAUCAUUUCGCAAAAGUAAAAACAAAAAGAUAACUACACUUAAUGUAGAGUGAGGAAACAAUAAAACAGAAGCAUAGGACAAACUCUGUAUAUAUUUAUUAUCAUGCAUGCAGUACAGAUUGAUGUUAAAAUUAUAAUCACACUCUUUCUGGUACAAUUUGUUUUUUGCGACCUCUUUCUGGAAUAAAUUAGGAAGCAACAGGAAUAUAGUGCACAUCGUAGAUCACCUGAUUAAUUUGGCAUAAAAUUAUUGUAAGGUCUAGCCUUGAGCCAGAGCAUGGACUUCUUUCUUAAUGUUAUACCAAAGAUCUCUGUUGUAUCAAAUUCUUCCAAUCUGACGCCAUCCGGUAGAUCCCAAUCAAAAUGGUAAAGAAGGCUAGCAAGUGCCAGCUCUAGGUUGGCUAGUCCGAGUGUGAUGCCAGGGCAUAUUCUUCUGCCUGCCCCGAACGGAGUGAACUCGAAGUCAUUACCCCUAAAAUCGAUACUGCUACUUUCAAAUCUUUCUGGCCUGAAUUCCUCCGCAUCAUGCCACAGUUUCAUGUCUCUUGCUAUUGCCCAAACAUUCACAAACACCUUGGUUCCCUUUGGCACAUCAUAACCCAUAACCUGACAUGACUCACGAGAUUCUCGAGGGAGCAAGAGUGGUACCGGUGCAUGCAGCCGUAAAGUCUCCUUGAUCACAAGCUGUAGAUAUCUUAACUUGAUGAGAUCAUCUUCAGUUAUCUUGUCUUGUCCUUUAAAGAUAUUCCUCACCUCUAAUUGGGCCUUAUGCAUGACCCGUGGGUUCUUAGCAAGUUCGGACAUUGCCCAUACUAGAACGGUUGAUGAUGUCUCACUCCCAGCAGAGAAAAUAUCCUGCAAUAUAGUCUUAUAGUUAGGAACCGUCACAUUAAUUCUCACGAGACACGACACAUAUUCGCUUAUUUGAAAUUUGGAUUUGUUGUGAGAGGAAAACACAACUCUGUUAUGUAGCACUACUUUAGCAGUACUUUCAAUGAAAAAAAACAGUAUUUUCCUCUCAGAACAUUUCAACAUGAGCAUCAGCAUAAGCCAAAUUUCAGUGAAACGUUGUUUGUUCGCUGAAAAGUAUUGUUGAAGUAGUGCUAAAGAAUAGGGCGUAAAUAUCCUCACAUAAAACUCAAAGAUAUUCCCAUCAAUUCCAUAGGCUCUAACAAACAUUGAUAAUAACAACUAUUUGAUAUGUAUAUUCUAUUUUCUAAACAAAUACUCACAUGUACUAUUAUGAAAAGAAAUAACAUAAGCAACCCCUAAUUUGCAGUUAAAUUUCCCACCUAUACCAUUAUGCAACAUCAUUAAAGUAAAUCUUAAACUUUGCAUCUAAAUUACCCACCAUGUUAUGUCAUUAUGAUGGAUAAUGCAAGAAAUACCUUAAAUUACCAUUUAAGUUACUACUUCUGCCAUUAUUAUAAAUUAAAUGAAAUAUCUUCUUAAAAUUACAUCUAAAUUACAAACCUAUGCUGGUAUGGAAUGUUUAAAUCACUAAAAAUUUAAAAUUACACCUAUAUAUAUAUUUUUUUAAGUGACCCACUUCUAUUAGUAUAAAUUAUAUAAAAACUGACCUAUAAGACAUACAUGUUGUGUAUACACUUUCACUAAAGUUAUAUGUACUAAUAGUAUAAUUGUGGUUAAGAACCAUAUUCCAUUUUGUAAGUGUGUGGUGUAGUGGGUGAAAAGUCAGUGGGAAAAAUUAUGUUCACUGCUUGAUCGACUAUGAACCGGUGGUAAUAACCACCAUCAUAUCGUUUCCACCGCUGGAUUAUACAUUGACAUGGCAGUAAAAAUAGUUUUCGCCAUGGGGUUUUCACUAUACUACGUCCCACUGGCCGGCCUUUGAACAAGCGGUGAAACAUUAUCAUCACUGGUUUAGUAGAAAUCGGUGAUGAAAAUACAUACCAUUGGUAAAAAUAAUUUCGCUAGUACUAAUCUACUAUACAUAUAUUUUUUUUUGACAAGAAAAUUUUCACAUAUUGAGUAGUAGAGGAGGUUAAGAACUUAGGAUACCCCUAGUUACUCGAGACCCUUUUGAAGUGAACAAUGAUACUAUCCUCCUGGUUAGCAUCAAUAGCCUCUCCUAGAUCUUACUUCAAACUCUACCAUCGAUUUAGGUGCCGUGGUGCAAGACUAAAAUACCAUUUGUGUUAUAUUAAAUAAGAAUGUAUUCUACAAUCUAAAUUCUUAUUUUUUUUAUAAAGUACAAGAGUUCUAAUUAAAAGGAAGGUAAAGAUAUUCAACUUUAUUUGAGGAUUAAAAAAUUGUAGCAGCUAACAAAAAUGAAAAUUUACUGUCAGAAUCUAGAUCUAAGAUGUCUUGUCACAUGGUUUGCAGUAUAAGACCAAUUUUUUUUGAGAGAGUAUAAGACACCAAGAUUUAGGCCUUGUUUACUUCCAAAUUUUUUUGCAAAAUAGGAACAAUAGCACUUUCGUUUGUAUUUGACAAAUAUUGUCUAAUUAUGGACUAAGUAGACUCAAAAGAUUCAUCUCGUUAAUUCCGACCAAAUUGUGCAAUUAGUUUUUAUUUUUAUCUAUAUUUAAUACUUCAUGCAUACGUCUAAAGAUUCGAUGUGACGUAGAAUCUGAAAAUUUUUGCAAAAAUUUUGGAGAACUAAACAAGGCCUUAAUAAGCUAUAACGUUCUAACUAGAUGUGUAUUGAAGCCAGCUGGAACUGCCUGGCACAUGGAAUGAAUACGGAUAGGGAAAAAAAAUAUACCUCACAACCACAAUAAGGAUAAAGUAUCUUAUGUAUUGUGGUAGGAAAUAAAUAAAAAUAACAGCACAAAGAUAAUUAAUUAUAUUAGUUGUAGGUAUUAAUUAAUAUGAACUACACUAAUGUUUAGUGCAAUAAAAUUUCAUUUGCCCGACGCUAAAAUUAAUUUUAUUAGUUGUAUUUAUUAACAUGAACUACUAAUGCUCCUAGUGCAAUAAAAAUUCGUUUGCUUCACGCUAAAACUAGAAACAAACUACAGCAUUAAGAACAAAGUAUCAUAUAUAUGCAUUUGGAGGAGUUUUGCAGGUGUGUCGUCUUAUUGACAAAAUGAUCGAUGAUUUAGAGAGCACAUUUUUUUAUAUAAAAAAAAUAUGAUUUAGAGAGUAAAUUAAUUUCAGAAAGAAUUUAAGAGAUGCUCUUAGCUUUAUAAGAGCUGAUCUUAAUUACCCAAAUAACCGUGCUGACAAUCUCGUUGGUGAGAGCGAACUGCAGGCCACCUUCCUUCUGCAGCCUCAGGAGAACACCCAGAAGGUCCUCGUCUCGCUCUGGCGCCGUCGCCAUGGCUUGAUCAGCUUCACGCUCCUGGAUGAUGCUCUGGAUGAUCCGGUACAUGUUCCUCUGGCACCUCCUCGCGCUCCUCGCGGCGGCGCUGAACCGGCGUACCAGCCGCGACGACGGGUACAGGUCCGCCAGGUUGAACCCCGCCGCCAGCCGCACCACCUCGUCCAGCUCAUACAUGUACUCGUCCCGGUACUGGCACCGGUCGCCGACGACCGUGCGCGCGGCGACGUCGUUUAUCAUGCGGCAGAUCCCGUCGGUGAGGUUGACGACGACGGGGCCACCGCCGCACUGGUCGGAGACGGAGCGGAGGAGGUUCGCCACCUCCUCUUGCCGGAUGUUCCGGAACGAGAGCACGCGGCGCUGGCUGAAGAUCUCGAGCAUGCACAGCUUGCGGAGCUCGCGCCAGUGGGCGUUGUAGGGGGAGCAGAUGAUGUCCUUGCCGCCGCAGCUGACGGUCUCGAGGGUGACGCCCAGGUAGCGGUUGCAGAAGGAGAGGUCGUGGGUCCUCAGCACCUCCCGGGCAGCCUCGGCGGAGGAGACCACCAGCGAGGGCACGGCGCCGAAGCGGAGCAUCAUGACGGGCCCGUAGGUUCCGGACAUCUCGCGCAGCGCCCGGUGAGGCAGGUCGCUGAAGCGCGACAGGAGGAGGUGGUGCAGGCUGCCGAUGAGCGGCAGCUGCCAUGGCCCUGGCGGCAGGCGAAGCGCUGAUGAUGGCUUCGUGCGGGAGUAGCUAAGGAUGAGCCUGAGAAGGAGGAGGGCGAGGAAGACGAAGGCCACAAUAUACAGGAUCCUGAUGUCCAUUUUUUUUGCCAGGGGAUGGGACAAGUUUGCAGGCAACUGCGUGUAACAUAAACAUAUAUAUAGACUUUGGCUUGUUUGGUACAGCUCAACUUCAUUAGUAAAAUUGUUUUUUAAAAAUAGCUUCAUGAGUGACUUUGUAGAUGAAGCUGAGCUGUUUUAAAAAAGUGUUUGGCAAAAUAGUUUCACCAACUACUUUAUGCAUAGUUGAGAAAGAGAAAUGAGAGAGAAAACUAUAAUAAGCUACUUUUUUCAACUUCAUUUUAACUUAUGUCUUUGUGAGAGGAGGAGAAAAACAAUUUCACCCAUGAAACUGUUUUGAAAAUAAAUGUUCGCCAAAAAAAACUAACUCAUAACAGCUCAUAAAGCUAUUCUGAAUUAGGGCCUGUUUAGAUUGGGAACGAAAAUUUUUUGGGUGUCACAUCGGAUGUGUCGGAAGAAUGUCGGGAGGGGUUUUUAGAAACUAAUAAAAAAAUAAAUUACAUAGCUCGUAAGGAAACUGCAAGACAAAUUUAUUAAACAUAAUUAAUCUAUCAUUAUCAUACGUGGGUUACUGUAGCACUUAAGGCUAAUCAUAGAGUAACUAGGCUUAAAAGAUUCGUCUCGCGAUUCUCAACUAAACUGUGUAAUUAGUUUAUUUUUUAUCUAUAUUUAAUGUUUCAUGUAUAUGUCCAAAGAUUUGAUGGGAUGGAUGAAAAUUUUUUGGUUGGAGAACUAAACAGGGCCAAAGAUAUAGGUAGCACUAGUACUCCUAUACACAUCGAGAUGUGAAACCAAAUAAACCACCCUUUUGACCUAGUGUCUUGAGCGGAUAUUUAUUUUGCGCAUGCCUCGCGCGAGCCUUCAAGAUAUAUUUCUGUAUUUGAUUGUAUAAUAUGCUAAUCACAAAUAGCUAAGGCAACGGAACAGACGAAGCAGUGAUUAGUUAUAUACUCCCUCCAUCCCAAAUUCCCAAAUUGUAAGUCAUUCCAAGAAUCUAACUUUUCUAAGUUUGACCAAAUUUAUAUGAUAAAAUAAUUAUUAUUAUGAUACCAACUAAAUAUCAUUAGAUUCUUCCUUAAUUAUAUUUUCAUAGUAGUUUCACUUUACGUUACAAAUCUUAGUAUUUCUCUCUAUAAUUUUGGUCAAACAUGAAAAUGCUUUGACUCUCUAAGAUUCUUGGAAUGACUUACAAUUUGGGAUGGAGGGAGUACUAUGCACUAGCACUAGUACGUUGUCAUCUAGUCAGAGCCGGCCCUAUGGGAGGGGCAGCAGGUGCGCCGGCCAUGGGCCCUUGCAGCUUGGGGGCCUAAAUAUGUAUAGUACUAGUAUAUCUCUAUUCUCUGUAUAUGUAUUGAGUUACAGGUAACGAGCAGCCGCAACGCCUGUCGCAAAGAGCCAGAGACACGGACUCGCGGUGUCUCGCCAAAUUCCCGAUUGACGGCACUGCACGCAGACGUAGGCACGCAGCCAUUGCUCUGGCCACAAACCUGCAGUCAUCGAGGCCUCGAGGGACUUCAAACAAAUCAGCCAAUCAGGCAAUCACCAAUCAGAUCUUUAUUGAAUAUUGAUUUGAUUCAGUUUCAUAUUUUCAGUUUAUAUGAUCAUGCCAAAUUUUAUAUGCCCUAGUUUUUUUUCUUGUUCAAUUUUUGUCUAUUACUUUGCACAGGUACUCAUGUAGUCAUAUUUUUAUUUUAAUUUAGGUAAAGUGUUAGAAUUUGAGAAUGUUACCUAAAAAAUAUGAGUUGGGGGCUGCGAAGAAGAACACUUUCGGCAGUCACAACAAGGUGCUUUAGAUAAGUUUUUUUCAGUUUCAAGUAGCGCUGUGCCUGAGCGUGAUGAGAACCUUAUAGAUGCACCUGAGAAUCAAGAAGAGACUAUGUCACAAGAAAGGUUAAAUGGUUUGGCUAUGUGCACCAUCGAAAGGGAUAUCUUGGACACUAUUGAUCUUAAUACCGUUCUCGAUGAUUUUGCAUCAAGAAAUGUCCGAAGAAAUUUAUUUAUAUAAAAAGCAAUGAAUAUGACGAAAUUCUAUUUUUUCUCAAGGUAAUCAUAUUAGUUCUAAAAGUACAAAUAUAUUGCUUUUUAAUCUACACUGUUUCUCGCUAUUGAUAAUUAUCAGACAUAUUAAUUUUAAAUAUUGAUUUCCCUUUAUAAACAAAAAUAGCCUAUAUAUUAUAGACUAGAGAGGCCAUCGCGACGAGCUCGCCAGAGGGCCCUCGAAAUCGUAGGGCCGGCGCUGCAUCUAGUGAAAAGAUAAUAUAUAUUCUGAUAAUUAAUCAUGAAUUAAAAUGAACGGCAACAUCUCGCACCGUGUUCCCACGCCGCCUGCGCCACCAAGCCGGGCUCCCAUGCCGUCCGCCACCAGCCAGGCCACCUGGCGCCACCAUGCGCACGUCAGGCCGCCGGUCGGGGCCCAACCGCACCACCGUGAUGUGAUCCCUGCGCCAUAGGCUGCCCUGCGUCGGGCUUCGCCGCCAGCCGAGCUGCCUGCGCCAACACGCCGUGGCCGUGAGAGCGGGCCGCACCGCCGUUCGGGGCCUGACCGCACCGCGUCGGAUCGUUCGGCUUAUAAGCCAUAAUUGUAAAUAAAAAAAUACUGUUAAAUAGUUAGCAAAUUUAACUUAUAAAGUUAAGUGAACAGGUUGUGUCCCUAUACCAAUCCAAGGCUGCCCCUGCACUGGCCCCUUUGUCACCACUUGCCACCGCCAUCUCAGUUGCUCCGAUGUCAACUGCGGUGGCGGCGACGACGACAGCGGCGCAAUCUGACAGCGCGUUACGGAAGAACUAGUGAAGGAACUCCUAAGGUUUAGCAGGCGCAGUCUCUUAAGGUGUCGGGCGGAACGAGAAUCCUUUUUCUCGUAGUGUGGCAGUCUCAUGUUGACCGUACGGAAAUGAAGGGAUUCACGGCCGGUCCGCGGGAGGUCGCCCGGUAGCAUGUGAGAUGGAACAAGGCACCGUGGGGGUGAUUUUUUUGUCCUAAGGGCAACUCCCUUAUUGGACAUAUUGAGAAAUGUACAAACACACAUCACAAUAUGAAUCUGUAUUGAGUUAUAUGUUUACACACUUCUCAAUAUGAUCCUAAUGGUAGAGGAAGUGGAAGCACAUGUCCUCAAGGAAAAAAUAACUUAUUUGGAGACGUGGUGCAAAAUGCCAAGGACAUACAAAUGCUUGAGCGAUUACUUGUCGCUGCUGAUGAAGACGAAGACGAUGACGUAGGACCUUCGGAUAGUGUCGCUUAUUUGGAUAAUAUUGACAGUGAUGACGAGACCUAUAAUCCCAACCACGAGGACUAUUCGUAAUACAUGUAAUACUAUGUCUUUUUUAAAUUAUUGACAUUUUUGUUUUGUUUAUUUAUUUUCAAGUCUCUAAUAUGCUUACUAAUAAGUCUUGUUUCAUUCUUUGUGUGUGCAGGUGUUUGAUCAAAGAUGGCGAGCAGGCGGCCACGACGUGACACACCCUCGGCCUACGCGAGACGCCCUUCCCUCACUGGCGAGGCAGAGUCGUCAGGGGCAGCCGCCGCAGGACGGCGCAGGAGGGGGAGGCCUUCCACGACGAGUACCAGCCAGGGGCGUAGGAGGCCGCGGAGUCCCACUCCAGACCCCGUGGCUCCAACGCUGGAGGAGUACCAGGAGGACGAGGACCAGGACGAGGGCCAGGACGAGGAGCACGGCGCGGCGCCCGAGGACGAGGGAGGCGCGGCGUCGGGUGUCUACCAGCGAGGUCCCGCGAAGCUCCCUCCAUACCCACUACCUCAGAGUCGAGCACUGCUUCGCCCUGUACCGCCCAAGUAAGUACAUCUAAAUGAUAUCACAACUACCUCAUCUGAUAGGUUUGAGAGUUUAGAGAGAAACUGACUAUUUUUUUCUAACUGGUGCAGGUCUUGGGAUCUGGUGUCGGGUACUCCCGUGCGCGCUCCCUCGACCAUCCUGGGUACCCUGUGCCGGAAGUACUUCCCCAGCCUCGUGGAGUUGGCGUCGGGGGCCCGCGAGCCGGCCACCACCUGGGAUAGGUACGCUUUAGGGGAGGACGACACGUACAACCCCCAGGAGAGGAUACUGGCCGAGUUUUGGGUAAGUUCCUUUCGCACAACAAUAAUUCACCCAUUACAUUAAAAUCUAUUUUUUUUUAAAUAAUGAUUGGAUGUAUUAACUUUUGUGCAGAGGUACUUCAGGGUGGAGGACGAAGACGUGGCCCUGGCUGAGUCUGUGGCGCACGCCUCCUGUAGGAAGUAUGUCACCGACAUGCACCACGAGGCGCGCGUCCAGGCAGUGAUAGACUUCUACGCGUCGGCGCGUAGUAUGACUAUCACGAAGGCUCAGGCGCGGACGAUGACGAUGACUCAGGAGCAGUACUUGGAGGUAGAUGAAUAACAUUCAGAUUGUCUCUUUUUUGAAUUUAAUAUAUUCAAUUAUAUCUUCAUAUCUGUCAAACACUCAUUGUCUUAUAGGUGAUUCCCUGGUGGUGUCGGGCGCAUGCCGAUGCCUGGGCCGCGAUCGUGGGUAGGUGGUUCACGCAGGACUACCUAGACAGGCACGAGUCUCACCACCAAGGCAGCAAGAGCCUCCCCGCCUUCAAAAAAUCAUAUGUAAGUGAUUUGUCUUCUAUUUAGUUUCGCGUUUAAUGUAUGCUUGAUUACUCACCCUCUGUCGCUUUUCUCGUAGGAGGCUGCGCACCCGGACGAGGAGGUGUCCAUGUUCACGGCUUGGGCUGCGUCUCACCAGACUGCAGGCCAACGCAUCUGGGACGCAGCUGCCUCUCGCGAGGCAUACUCCGACCCCAACGUGUACGAUAAGGUCCAGGAGUACACGUCGGCGGUACGGGAGCGGCACAGGCCAGAGUACGACGUCCGCACCGAGCCACUAGAUGCCGAGGCUGUCAUGAGGCUCGGUGGCGGUAGGAAGCACGGCCGGGCCUGGAUCGCAAACGCCGCCAUCGACCCCAACACCACCCCCACUCUCAGCCAGCUCAGAGCACAGAGCACGAGCUCCAGCCAGCCCAUCCGUGCACGGCCGACUCCGACAGUGAGCAUGUUAGCUUCGCUCCAGGUAAUUCUAGGUUCUCUCAUAGUAAAUUAAUAUUCUCGCAACUGAAUUACAUUUGCAUUACUGAAACAUUGGAGUGUAAUCUUGCAGGACGACAACGCCCAGAAGACGGAGCAGAUCACGGCCCUCACUGCUCAGCUGGAGGCUGAGCGUCUCGCGCGAGAGGCCCAGGACCAGAGGAUGGCUGAGAUGAUGAGGGUCCUGGCCGCUCUGGGGCAGCAUACAGGUGUGGACGUCACGAUGUCAGCUCCAGCGCCUCAGCUUCCGACGCCGUUUAGUUCUACUGUAAGUGUCAAAGUUAACUUCUUCUUUGUAACUGUAGUGCAGAAAUAAUUACUGUAAUCUCACAUAAACAUCUAACUGUUUGUGCAGCCUCAGUCGAUAGCGGGAUCCAAUAACCCGCCUCGUACGUCACCGGAUCCUGGAGCCUUCGACACACCACCCUCGACGCAGAGGCAGGACGGCUGGGGACGAUGGUGACUUCUCGCAACCCUAUGGUGCGUACGUGUCGGCGGUUUGAAACUUUGGUUCGAUUUGGUGAACUUGUGGACUACUGGAUGGUCGUGAUAUAUAUACAUGAUCUUCGUGAUAUAUAUAUAUAUGUGAUGUUCGUGAGAUGUAUGUGCUCGUUGUCGACUCUGUGUGUGUGAAGGUAUAUAUAUGUAUCUGUCUAUUGUCUGGAUGCAAAUAAACAAAAAAAAAUUAAAAUUUCUCUGGUCUUUGCCGAGGGCCUUGACCAUAGCCCUCGGCAAAGAUUUUAAAUUUUUAUUUGGGUAAUUUCUUUGCCGAGAGCUACCAUGCAGGCCCUCGGCAAAGAAUUCUCCAGAAAAAAUAAAAAAAGAUACUUUGCCGAGGGCCUGCAUGGUAGCUCUCGGCAAAGAAAUUACCCAAAUAAAAAUUUAAAAUUUCUUUGCCGAGGGCCUGUAUGGGAACCCUCGGCAAAGAAUUUACCAAAAUAAAAAUUUAAAAAAUUCUUUGUCGAGGGCCCAACGUUCGGCCCUUGGCAAAGACGCCGUCAGUUACAGCCAGUGGCCUAACGGCAUCUUUUUUUCGCCGAAGGCCGGCGUCAGCCCUCGGCAAAAUCUUUGCCGAGUGCCCGACAGAAGGCCCUCGGCAAAGACCCCUUUGCCGACGGGAAAUUUCCCGACGGCUCUUUGCCGAAGGCAGCCCUCGGCAAAGCCUUUGCCGAGGGUCUUAUAGCCUUUGCCGAAGGCUGGAAGCCCUCGGCAAAUCCUCUCUACAGUAGUGCUACGAUAAUUUCCAUCAUGCAUGACACCCAUGAAACCCACCUUUCUGAUCUUAAGUACAAGAGUCAAAUUGAUUAGCCACACCAAAACUUGAGCCCCUGAUCCAACCAAAGCGCAUGAGUAAAGGAAAGGCCGCCAUCCCAUGUCUCCAUCUCCGGUUUUAUCGAUGGGAUCAUCGCCAUCAACAGCAGGUUGACAAGGAGGGAAAAUCGCGCUGCCAAAAGGACGUUGGCAACAACCGUACAACUAGGUACCUUCCCCAACCCUUCGCGACAAGGGCCUGCUCCACAUAGACACGGAUCCCCACACCUAAAGCAUAAUGAUUUCCUCCAUUACUAAUGAAGGUACGUAAACUCAAGAGAUCUACUAAUCUAAGUCUAAGAUCAUGUGUCCUAAUCCUGUUUCAAUUUUAAUCCUAAGUAAUUUCUAACAGUUUGUUAUCAGGAUCGGUAUAAAUAAAUAUACUCUUAAGUUAUAUGCAUGUACCAGUGCAAUUCCCACUGAUGAGCAUAACAUGGAAAGUCAAGAUAGAACUUUCAUCAUAAUCAUCUAUGGACAAACUAAUUCCGACCUAACAUGUCAGCAUCAAACUCUUGGCUGACUUAUAUAAAAGAUCAAAAUUACAAUGUAAGGAGAAGUUGUCAAUGACUUUGUUUUUCCUAUUGCAGCGCACGAGCAUAUUUUGCUAGUAAAUAUAAUAUAAAAAUAUAUCUUAUGAAAAAAUUAAUAAUAGUCAUUUGAUAUUAUAAAUAUUAGUAUUUUUUAUGUAUAGUCAAAUUUAAAAUGCUUUAACAUUAAUACUAUGCUAGAAGCCUAGAAUUGCAUUCUUAGGCUGUCUCCAACAACCACUGCCCAAACACAACACGCAUUCUCUGAUAUAGGUCGAGUACAGUGUAUAGGUUUCCCACCCAAAUCGCUCCUUCUCCAACAGAGUGCGCCCCAAAUCCUGCCGCCUACUCCCAUAGAUGGUUCACCUCUUCCACGCCGCCUGCUCCGCGGGCCGGUUGCCCCUCGCCGCGCUGGCCACGCCCCACCGCGGCCGCUCCUCGUCUUCUCCAUCUCCUUCGCAGGGGACAAGCGGGUGUAGGGCGCCGCCGCCAACCCCGCCGUAGAAGACGCCGCCGUCGGUGCUCCCACAGUCCACGCGGGCCCUGCCAUCUCCUCGCCUCUUCCUGCGGAAGCCCGAGCUAGGAGGUCGCCGGCUGCUUCAUCUUCUACAGCCGGAGAAGAUGGUGAGCGGCUCCGCCAUCGACGCUGCCGCCGUGGACAUGGCCCCACCAUCUCCUUGCCCUCGUAGAUGACUUAUGCGCGCUGGCUUCUCCUCCCUUUGCACCUCGCCAUGGGCCACUAUGCGCCACGGAUUAGAUUCUUUGCGAGCACGCGACGCUUCUUUGCGUUUCCAUUCGGCCGUUACCCAAAAUAGGUCAUGCGUUUGAGUCUUCCAUUGGAGGCUGAUUUUGGUAUGCAAAGUAUUGUGCAGGACCUAUUUUUGCAUUUGGGUCUUAUACAGUCUUAGAACAUAGUCAAUUGGAAAAUAAACUUGUUUUACCAUGUGUAACCAUAUCUUAUAUUUGAAAUUUCAUGUUGACAAAUAAAUAUUUAAUAGAAAAUUGCUCCCGUGCUUUUGUCAUAGACUCGUAGUUGACCGUACGAGAUCGGAAGGGACGAAACAAUCAGCUAUCGUCCGGAUUUUAUCCCCUACCUUUCAGGCUUGUAAACAACGCUGGCAAGUUUUAUCCAUAUUAUGAAGUUAUAUUUAUUAUAUUUGUUCAUUAAAACCAAUAAACUAAAUCGCUACUACCUCUCUUAUGUCCUGUAAUAUACUGUAUUUUAAAAAUUUUAAGACAAAUUUUUAAAAAAAUUAAGAGAAAACUUAAAAGUGUAACACCCCAAAAUUUGGUCCUUUCAAAAUAGAGCUAAAAUAAUUUAAUUUGGUAUUUUUGAGCUCAUGAAAAUAUAGGAAAAAUAAUAUUUUUUAGUAAAUUAAAAUUUAUCAUAAGGCAUAGUAAUAUUAUUAUGCAUACAUGUUGGUGCAUAAGAUUUGAUGUAAUGUUUGCUUAUUGCUUCUUUGUGUGUUGACAGUGAGUGGAGUGUUUAAAAUACGUUAGUAGGUCGAUCUCCCUUCUUCGGCACGGAUUUAUCUUUUUUUCUACAAUCAAAUUCCUUGUUUUCUAGCCUAUGCUUUUGUUUCGAGUUUCCCAAAAUCUUUUCUUUGUAACCCAAAUCAUUCCUUUCAGUUCCUCAACCAUCAAUCAAUCUCUAAAAACUGACCAAGAAUUAUUCUAACACUUUUUAAGGAACUUGUUCCCACUUGACUAUGAGCAUAAUCUAAUUUUUAGAUGCUCCGAAUUAUCUUAUCAUGAGCUCCAAAUACUUUAUUUGGGUUCCUCAUGUUUCAUAAUAUCUCCAAGAAUUUUUCCUGAAUUUUCAGAGCUUUUGAAAUAUUUUUCAUGAAUUAAAUAAUAAUUCUGGACUUUUCUAGAAAUAUCUUAUUCACAAAAAUAAUUAAUUUCGGAAAUAAUAAAUCUUUCAUUCUACCCCAACGCUGAGCCCAUGAUCUCAAAGGCCAAGGUAUUUAUUUACUAGUGGGCUUUAAUAAUUAAUUAGGCCUAUUAGUAAAGGUGGAAGGGGCAACAUCAAUUAGUACCAUAUUGCUAAUUGAUGUAGUUGUGGAGAGUUUUCCUCCAUAUAUAUAUAUAUAUAUAUAUAUAUGUACCAACCCCUUAGGUUAAGUACAUCAAAACUACGAGGAGCCCCUAGUUUGGGAAUUCCUAAGGUAGAUCAACAAGAAAGCCGACACCAUGCCCGAUCGCCCUCAGUCCUUGGUCCAAGGUCAAGCCGCCCUCGGCUGCUGUGUCACACCCGGUUUUAAGGAACAAAACCAGACUAGCUGUAUGUGUGUCCAGGAAGUCCACACAUACAACAACAGAAAGGAAUAGUAUCAAAAACAAUGUUGUAUAGCGGAAACAUACAUAUAAUAGACAUUUACAUCAGAGUAUCGCGGAAUGAUAACUAAUCUUUAGGCUCAAUCUUUACAGGGACGGCUGACUGGGGGUAACAUAUGCCUAACACUUCUUGUAUCCUAAUAACAUCCUUCGUGACUCCAUCACCCUUCUGAUCAACUCUUUCUAGUAGACUGGAGUGGUGAGAAAUAGCAAGAGUGAGCACAUAUCGUACUCAACAAGUAUAACCAGAGGUUCAUGAGGCUCAAAUAGCUGACACUGGUUUGACUGCAUUUAGCUUUUAAUAGUGGAUAGCAUGUUCUUAAUUAAAUAGCAAUUGUCAAGGUAGCAUAAGUAAUCCAUUAAUCCCAUGAUCAAGUGUAAGCAUAAUUAAUUCAUAGCAUAAACGAUAGUCAAAUAAACAUAACAACUUAAUAAGCUCAUCGUCGGCGCAGCAAGAACCCCCAAGGCCGCUCAUAACCGUGAGCAUGGCUAGUAUACCAGUUUUACACUCUGCAGAGGUUGUACAUCUUUACCCAUGAGUCAUGAUUUACCCUUUCGCCCGAGGUAGCUAAUCUCUUAACCCCCUUCCUAGGGAGGUCGGCAGGGAUCACUAUGAAGCCUUUCAAAAGUUCGUCUAACAUGUUAGGGCCGCAAGGUUUCCUUUGCGAGCAGAUAUAGAUACCCCCCUUCCGAAUGGCACAAUGACGCGCAGCCUAUACACAUAGGGACAGGGGCUCGCACUAUACCCGUGUCGGUUCAGCCCCUCCGCCCUUUCGGGUAACCUCUAACAAGCUAAAAAAGGUCUUCAUACUGAGCUAAAGCCAGAGCCAUUAUAGCCCUCAUGGUUGCACUGUUGUCCCGGUGAUCACUUACAGACAAGAUCUCAUAUAGUUAUUUGUCAUCAUUUAACGUUCAUUGCAUAGCUAUUAAUCAUCUUACAAGAUCAUAGAUUAUAUCAAGCACUAGCACAUCUACACCAAAUGCAUAUCAAGUAGGUAGCAAGGAAUACAGGUAACAAUCAUCUAUGAUUUUGCUAAGGUCGACAAGAUGAUAGCAUGCAUAUGAUAUAUAUGUGUAGUUAUAAGUGAAUAGGUAACAAGGAUGAUCCCAAGUUAUACUUGCCUUAAACACUUGCUUAAUUCUCACACCAUUAGCUUUUGGUCAUCAUCUUCUGAUCUUCAGCGCCCACAAACGGUUCUCGUCUACUCGUAGCAAGCACCACACAUAGGCAAACAUACAAGCAACAAACAGAAAUAACUAAGAACAGUACACCACACAAGAUCACGCAAUGUACUAAAGGAGAACAAAUUACUACAGGCACAAGAUGACAAAAAAACGCCGAUAACAGAACUACGCUUAAAACAAACGACUAUGAGAAAAUUCACAUCAUAACAGUAAAGACUAUAUGCUUGCUUUAUUAUAAUUACAAAACCAUAUGAAGUAUAUUAAUUCAGAUUAGUCACUAUGCAUUUCAAUUGAAAGACCAAGUUUUGAAUCUAGUAAUUUUAAUUAUAGAUAUUUUAAUGCCUUUUUAUAUACCAAUCAAUUAUACUUUAAUUUGCAAAAACAAAGUAAUAUUUGAGAGCAUAUAAUUAAUGGAAUUUUAUCUGAUGCAUUGUUAAACUAAGCAAGUUAUAAAUUAAAAAUAUAUUUCUAUAUUGUUUUAAUUUAGAAAGCAGUGUGAACAGAGAGUAGUCAAAAUUAAUAAAUAAAUUAAAAAUUUUAGAAAACAUGAAAUACGUUCAGAUGCGACAUAGAAAUAAUAGAUUAAGAUGGGACUAAAGCGAUUCAGAUAUGAUAGGAAUAACAUAAUUGAGCAUAUAUAACUACGGAGACUCAAUGGUUGCCUGAACAAGUAUACACAAAAUGUAUUUUUUUUCUUGAUUGAGGAAUAGAUAGAUAAUGCUAAUUUAUUAUGCAUGAAUGACAUACUCAUGACAUCAGCAUAAGGGUUAAUCAAUAAAAUAAUAUGGCAAGGGACUAAUCUGGCCGCUAACCUUCAGUUAAUCAGGAUGCACAUUUGCAUGCUGCACGAUAUAGCUUUCCUGGAGUAGCAAGGAUUGGGCAAUCGUACGUCAUGCAGUUGCAGCAGCUGAGAUGACUUUGUGCUUGGUAAAAGCGUGAAAUAACAGCAUGUCUAGCUUCAUGGUUGGAUUGCAUGCAGUUACUAGAUGACAACUGCCCGUACAGAGAAGCACAAAUUCAUGGAGGUGCUCACCGAACAUAGAACGAUGAUGGAGAUGGCAGCCAGCUUGGACAUCCCACAUACGUGGUGCUCCAUGGACUUGAGAGCGGAGAUCAUGCAGAGCAUCUAGGCAUGGCUGAUGGCUACGGGCAGUCUUCACUUAGAUCAAUUAGCUCCCAUGGUGAACAGAUGACAAUGAGCCAUGGAUCGAGAUCAACUCUGUACCUGCUUGGCAAAACUUCCCGGCGGCGCGGCAAGAUGGAGGUGCGGCGCAUGAUGAGAGUUAGGGCAUAGGAUGGAUGAGAAAUUAACCAAAUAGGACAUAAAGAUAUGUAUAUGUACUGUUUGUGUGGGUUUAUUAUGGCCGAGAUAUACGUGUUAACGUUUCUUCACGUACGAGUCCUGAGUUGACGUGGUGGUCGAGUCCAUCUUCAACACGUACGACAGUAGUGGUGGUUGUCCACGCGACUUCAUAUGGUAGUAUAUAUACUCCGUAUAUAUAUUUCUCAUGCUUGGGAUAAGAAUUAAGAAAAAAAAUGGGCAUGCAGCAAAGCAGGGACACGAUAGAGGGAGCGUACAAGAUAGGAGAAGGAAACAAAAAUAAAGAAACUUGCAUCUGAGUAGAAAGCUAAUUGAACCAGUUAUUUGCUUCCUGAAACAUCACGUCAAAACUUAGAUCCAAUGAAACAAGAAAACAAUAGAUAGGGCAAGUAUUAAUGGGAGAGAGAGGGUAGUACGGGCCUUCUUCUAUCCAAUAAUAAAAGAGUAAAAAAAAUGUUUGGCCAAAAGUGAUUUAGGGUCAAGAUUAAUUCGGAACAAUUUGAAAAUUAACAUUUUUCUACAACUAAAUUUGCACUAACUCAAACUAAACUUAGUAAAUUUUAUACAAAUAUCGAAAUAUUUAUUUUUGUUAAUAUUUUCUAUGCACAGCCCAAAAUCAAAAUUUUUAGGGUGUGACAUGCUCUCCACCAGCCGAAACUCUAAUUGGCCAAAGUCAAGUUCACGUACAACACAAGGAAGAAGGUGCAUGUUCUGCAGCUCAUCUAUUCAUUCAAUUAUUCCAAAAAUCCAUACCAUCUUAAUCGUGUAUCAUUUAGUUAUUCUAAGUCUAAUUUAAUCCAUUCAACCAUGUUAGAAUUUUGUAGAUUUAAUCUACGUACUAGUACCUGUAUCUUCACGUGUUGCGCUAUAUUUAUAAAUCUUAUUAAUUUAAAUGCUAGAUUGAUUAAUGUUUAUGUACAAUUACUUUUCUAAUUUAGAAGCGAACAUACUAAAUAUUUCUGAAUUUUAUAAUCUAAAAUAUACUAAACGUUGAUGUUUGUGUGCAACUGGUUUUCUAAUUUAAAAUCCCUAUAGAUUUUAUAUUUUGGUGUUUUAUAUAUAAAUAUUAAUAUGGUAAGUUACUAACAUAAUCUUAUUUCUAAAUAAUAAAUUGCUUAGCUCAAACAUGUUUCAUAUAUGAAAUUCUAAUUAGACUAAAUACUCUCACAUAUUUAUUUCUUUUGCAAUUUGCAAAGAUAAAGCUUAAUAAUUUAUUUAGUAAAUUAGGUGAUAACAUUUAUAAAAAAAUAUAUGAUUAGCAUCAACUCAGAUUUCAAGUUUAAAUAUGAUUUAUUUUGAGUUAAUGUUACUCACAUUGUUUUUCUUAAUUAAUAUAAAUCAAGCUUAUAGUUGUUUGAUUUACGGUAUAAAUUAUUUUGGCAAUUGUUCCUUUUACAUCGUAGCUUCGACCUCGAUGGUUCUUGCGUUUUUGUGACCGUGAUCAAAUUAGAGUGCUUUUCACGUCUUUGUGUCCGUAGCGAUAGAUUAGUUUUUAAACCUUUUUAUUGUUUGGUGUACUGUACUAAUUAUAGCUUUGUUUGCUUCAUGUAUGUUUGGCUCCUGUUUGCUUGUGUGUUGCUAUUCGAUGAUCGAGUUUAGACGGUGAGCAAUUCGUAAUGAACAAGAGUGCUUUAGUGAUCAAGAUCAGAGCCUUGACAACUAGUAAGACCAACAGGAUCAACAAGAGCAUUUGGAUUAAGGCAAGUAUAGCAUUUGGAUUUUAUUUCUGUGACCAUGAUCGUAUGACUAGAUUAAUGUUAAGUAAUAAACAAUAAAAAUGACUGUUUAGCAACUUAAGGAUUUAUCUGUACGUGAUCACCCGGGACAACAGUGCAACCAUGAGGGCUAUAAUGGCUCUGGCUUUAGCUCAGUAUGAAGACCUUUUCUAGCUUGUUAGCGGUUACCCGAAAGGGCGCUAGAGGGGCUGAACCGACACGGGUAUAGUGCGAGCCCCUGUCCCUAUGUGUAUAGGCUGCGCGUCAUUGUGCCAUUCGGAAGGGGGUAUCUAUAUCUGCUCGCGGUGGAAACCUCGCGGCCCUAACAUGUUAGACUAACUUUUGAAAGGCUUCAUAGUGAUCCCUGCCGACCUUCCUUGGUAGUGCGUUAAGAGGCUGAUCACCUCGGGCGAAAGGGUAAAUCAUGACUCAUGGGUAAAGAUGUACAACCUCUGUAGAGUGUUAAAACUAGUAUACUAGCCGAGCUCACGGUCAGGAGCGACCUUGGGGACAUCUACAUUAAGGGUGAUGAAUCUUGUGUGUUAAAUAUGCUCAUUGUUUAUUGUUUAAUGCUCAACAUUAUUUAUGUCGCAUUGAUCAUGAGAUUGUGGGAGCUAUACAAUCUAGUUGCUAUACUUGUGGAGUUCGACAUGGACUCACUCUUGCUAUUUCCCCACACCCCUCAGGAGAAGUUUUGGGCUUGUGAUCAACCAGUCAGUUGGAUCCUGUAGAGAGAAGUUAAUACCCGAAGUUUGGAGUUGUCUAUCCGCUGUUUGCUAUCACAGGUUAUAUCUUUUAUACUAAGUACGUUAUAUAUUUAUGCAUUGUCUUUUGAUAUUACCCUUAUUUGUAACUAUAUGUGAGACUUGGCUUCUAAAACUCACAUAUAGUGCAUAUCUGAUUUUGUCCUUAAAAUCGGGUAUUACAAAAAGACACAUAUCUAUUUUAUUUUCUAAUCAGACGAUAUCAACAACUUGAUUAAUGAUGAUUGAUUAAUAAAUAAAAGUACUUAAUGUAAAAAUUUGUUUUUCCCCAUAGAAUAUAUUGUGUUUAUUUAAAGAUAAAUUUUGAACACUGAAAUGAACUAUACUAGGUGAAUUCCCCGCGCGUUGCUGCGGGAUUUUUUUAAAAAUAAAUUAUUAUAUACAUAACAUUACUAUAUGGUAUUUAGUCUAUUAUGUAUGUAUACAUAUGAAUUGGACUUGCAUGUAUUUUAUUGUAUUAGAUUAGUAAAAAAUUGCUAAGCUAAUAAAACAAAAACUAAUAUUUGAUUACAUUAUAGAGGAAUUAAUUGGUGAUAAAACAAAUAAUGUAUGUACAUGACUUGUAUGUGAAUAUAUUAAAGAUUUAAAGUAUUUCACAUAAUAUAGAUGGCAUGGUUAUUUUUUUAUAAUUAAUAUGGAAUGACAUGGACUUAGUGGGGAAUGAUGUGGACAUCUUGCAUGAAGAGAUAAAAUAUUUAGUGGGUCACUUAGUGGGAAAUGAUGUGGCCACCUUGCAUGAAGGGAGAAUUCAUCUAAUGGGGUUUAGCUUUAUAAGAGUUAUAGAUUACAUGAUGGAGGGAGUAUUUACUACCCAACCAAAGAUCCCUCUACCGUUGUGUUUGAUAUUCCCGCGCACUACAAGUUAUCAUUGGUAUCCAAAGAUGGAGGAGACGAUAAUCUAUUUUGUCCGUACACACGCGUCAGCCUUUUGACCAAGAUAUUAUUUCUGUAUUUUUAUUUGUAUAUACGAUUAUAAGACAGCGAUAGGCAACGGAAUGAGACAUCGAAGGAACGGAAUAUAGACGAAGAUGUACUAUUAUGUAUACUAUACCUUCACACUAAAUUAGCUGAUAAUAUAAAUUCUGUAGGAGUAUAUACGCUGAUAAGUACACAGCCAAACAGACGAAGUUGACACGUCCAUGGUUGAUGACACCUUCGCACUAACGAACGACCACAUACGAACAAAUUAAUGAAUUGACUUUGAAAGAAGUAAAAGAAGCCAAAACAAUUUAUUUUUGUCGAACCAAGAAAUUUGGUCUUUGUUCCAAAUUUCAUCAAAAACUUGUUCGUUCUAGCAAACUCAAGUUAUAUCGUGCUAUAUCCUGUAAUAUAGUGAAUUUUAAAAAUUUUAAAACAUUUUUUCUAAAAAAUAAGAGAAAAUUUAAAAGACACAUGUACGUUUAUUUUAUUUCCUAAUUAGACGGUAUCAUCAACAUGAUUAAUGGUGAUUGAUAGAUAAAUGGGAAGUAUUUAAUGUAACAUUUUGUUUCUUCCAUAGAAUAUAUUGUAUUUAAAGAUAAAUUUUGAAUGCGGAAAUAAAUUAUAUAUACUAGGAGGAUUUUCUGCGCGUUGCCGCGGGUAUGAAGCAGUAAUCUAUAUGUGUGGUGUUAGUAAUGCAGGAACAUGAUAUAAUAUAUGUGUAGAUUUAUUAGUAUAAUCGUGGACAUUAUAUCUAUAGUGGCCGGUGUUUCUAGCUGAUGUUGAUAUCAUAAUUCUUGUAUCAGUGAACUUUAAUUGCAAAUAAUAGUGGAUUGCUGAGGUGGACACCUUGCAUGUCAAGAGAAAUUGCUAGUGACAAAUUAUAAUGGAUUGUUGAGGUGGACGUCUUGCAUGUUAAAAGAAAUAGCUAGUGGGAUUUUACUUUAUAAGAGUUAUAGAAGUGGAUUGAUGAGGUGGACAUCUUACAUGUCAAAAGAAAUUGCUAGUGACAAAUUAUAGUGGAUUGCUGAGGUGGAUGUCUUACAUGUUACGAGAAAUAGUUAGUGGGUUUUUGCUUUAUAAGAAUUACAGAUUACAAAAUGGAGGGAGUAUUUAGUACCCAACCAAAGAUCCCUCCACCGUUGUGUUUGAUAUUCCCGCGCACUACAAGUUAUCAUUGGUAUCCAAAGAUGGAGGAGACGAUAAUCUAUUUUGUCCGUACAUACAUCAGCCUUUGGCCAAGAUAUUAUUUCUGUAUUUUUGUUUGUAUAUAUACGCUUAUAAUGUGGCUCGCGAUUUUGUCGAGUCUACGUUUCUUAAUGACAGGCCAUGAGGCCCAAAGUGAACUCAAAAAGACAGCGAUAGGCAACGGAAUGAGACAUCGAAGGAACGGAAUAUAGAUGAAGAUGUACUAUUAUGUAUACUAGUACACCUUCACACUUAAUUAGCUGAUAACAAAAUUCUGUAGGAGUAUAUACGCUGAUAAGUACAGCCAAACAGACGAAGUUGACACGUCCAUGGUUGAUGACACCUUCGCACUAACGAACGACCACAUACGAACAAAUAAAUUAAUGAAUUGAUUUUGAAAGAAGUAAAAGAAGCCAAAACAAUUUAUUUUUGUCGAACCAAGAAAUUUGGUCUUUAAACUUGUUCGUUCUAGCGAACUCACGUUUCUAUAGCAAUGAUAAAACUUUUGAACUUACACAAUGCAGGGAAAACCUAAAGGCAAAGUGAAAGCAAAAACAGUCCUUAACAUAGUGAAAGGUUGACAUUGGAAGAUUUGAUGCGGGUCCGAAGUUCCAAAGAUUGUAAGUCGAAGUCGGAAAAAAUAACUCGACCUAUGGGGGUAAGACAGCCCCGGGUAUUGUGUUUAAGAAAAAAAAAAUUAAGUCGAGAAAAUCCCUAAACCUCUACCUUACCCAUACACAAUGGUAUCACAGCUCCUAUGACGCUGGCUGAUCUUAGACCUGUACUUUAACAUAGAGCAGACGAGAAGAUUUUGUCAACAUGCAGAUAAACUAACGCCUCCUCCCAUCAACAAAUCCGCCUUCCAAAGAGUUCGAACUGUGGCCGGUAGGAUGCAAAGCGCACCGUCCAAGCAACUGGUCUAGCGUAUAUCAGAAGUAGGUCGUAAAUUCCAAACAAGACUGCUUCAAAUCAACUCUAAAAAAUUUGAAAUUUUGUACAAACCUUGAAUAAACCAUUUAUAAAAGAUAACCCCCAAGAGAUCAAUACUACCACGUAAAGCAUUUUGCAUGCGGCCACAUUUGUUUUCCACAUACGCCCAGCAAAGUCUGCCUCCAAGUCUAAGCAUCAAUGAUUCUGAUUUUUUUUUUUUUUUGAAGAUGCUUGUCUGUGAAAAUAGGUUUAGAAAAUAAAAAAAGGGCCUAGGCCCGGCGUCGAACUCGCUUCCGGAAGCGUCGCCACCGCUGCCCAUCCACUCUAAACACGCGGCUGUCGUCACCGAGGCCGCUCGCAGCCAGGUAGCCACCCCACUGUCGCCGGAUCUUGCUGUGGAUCCCUCCACCGCCGGAUCAAGCCAUGGAUCUCUCCAUUGUGCCGCCGUGAGGCCGUGUCACUGCGCACUCCUGCGUUGCGCCACGCCGUUGCGAGGCUCCUGGGUGCCAAUCUAGAUAACCCGGGUUGUCAUCCACUCGAUCGACCUGUCUUAAUAUAAACCAAAUACUGAGGACCCACAGGAAAGUAUCAUCUGCACCUCGUCUUAAAGACCUUUUACAGUUGAGUUACACCAACGAGCCAAUCAUCAAGCGACUUACAACACAAUCUUAUAGUGAACAAAAAAAUUUCAAACUAAAACAUCAUUGACCAUAAAAGAAAUUAACCUGCAAGAAGACAUCGGACGAGUUGGAGAUGAGCUCACUUGAUUGGAUUGGGAGAGCGUGUGAGAGUGAUUAGAGAUAGAGAGCUUUGAUGAGUGAUCCAACUGUGGAUUAGUAUCAUACUAGUUUUUAUCUAGACAUGUGAGGGUGUUAGGUCCUAGGGUUAAGGUUAAACAUUUUAAACUUCAAAAUAUUCAUCAGAUGCUCCAUCAAUUAUGAUGGACUCUCCUUCAAAAAUAUUCCCAAAGCUAGCAAGUUUGGGUUCGGCUAUAAGAGAAUUGAUGGAUGAUCCGAUAAACUUGUCGGACGAUCCAAAAAAAUGGACGAUAUGUGGUUCUAGGAACAUGCCACAGAACGAUCGGUGGGUGAGCUGUGUUUCACAGACACUCCGCGGAAUCGACAUUUGCUCCAUGGUGAACUAGGUGCUACCGAGUUCUCUGGAAACCAAUUUUAGUUAUUGACGCGCAGUCCAUGGAUCCUCAUGAAUGUUCCAUGAACAGUGAAGACUAAGUGUUUGGCUGUGAUUUCUGGCCAAGCGUUGUGGUUGACGUAUGAUCUGUAAGAUGUGAUGGAUGCUUCAUUAGUGCAUUCACACAAGUUAUGUGUUUUAUCAUUCAUGGUGUUUAUGUGUGAUUUAAGUCUAGAUCAUUGGUGAUGUUCAUCAUGUAUGUGCAAGGGGUUAGGGUUGUUUAGGUGACAUGUUGGGCUACUGAUUGCUAGGGUUGAGCUCUAGUUACCAUGUGCAUCAUAGUGAUCUGUGGAUCAAAUUAAUCAUGAGAAAAGAGAAAUUAAAUCAUGAGAAUGGGCAUGGCAAUAUAUCUUUAAGAAUUUGAUGACCUCUAGGCCACCAAGAUCAGAUAUGGGGUCUUGCUCAACCUUGCUUCCAAGAAAAAGAGAUGGAUUGGGGAAUUCAUGAGAUUUCUUGCAAAAAUCCACAAAAUUGCAUUGGGGAGAAACUUGAGAGAUCCCUGAGAGGAUUGAGCUAGAGAUGAUCUUAGCUUACACUUGAGAUGAUGGAGCAACUUCCAAACUUCACAUAUUGCAUCCAUGCAUGAAAAAAAUCAUGCAUGGAUGUAAUGUGAAGUUUGGAAGUUGCUCCAUCAUCUCAAGUGUAAGCUAAGAUCAUCUCGAGAGAGGAUUUCAAGAAAAAUGAGAGAAAGGCUUUUGAUUUCACCAUAGAUUGAGGUUGAGAUGGAGAAGCUGAUGAGAUUUGUGAUCAAUGCUGACCUUUGCUUCUUAUCCUUCCUUUAUUUCCCUUCUCUUCAUCUUUCUCACUUUCUCUCUCUAGUUCUUGCCUUGUUCUUCAUGUGUUGAGAGAGGGGGAUAGGGAAUGGGUAAGAGAGUAAGCGGGAUGGGGCAUGUUUGCUGAAGGCCUUUCCCAACUCGUGCUGACAAGUGGGUCCACUUGUGAGAGAAUGGAGGACAGCUCAUUCCCAACUUGAUUCUACUAAAGUCAAGUUUUGAUGAAUGAUCUGUCUAUUCAGAUAGGCACUCUGUCAAUAUGCUAAUUAUGAGAAAUUGAUUUAGAGAAAUGGUUCUUAGAAUUUAGAAUUAGGGCCAUUCUUCUUGUCCUAGGUGUUGAUAACCACUUAGGGAGAGACUAGAUAAGUCAACUAUACCCUUCCUCCACUAUCUUCUUGAAGUUGACCGUUAGUUGGUCAUCGAUGACUCUAGGUUGACUCUGGCUUAAGAGGAUCGAUAAGGUUGGUUAGCAAAUUUGGAGUCCUUAUCCUAGUUAAGAGCACUAGGAAUCCUUCAAGAGAAUAGCAAGUUGAUUCUUGGAAGUUUGAGGGCUUAUGCAAGGUGAUCAAAGAGGUUCUUAAGAAGGGUUUUAGUUGGAAUGACUUCUGGUCAUGACAAUUGCUGCCUUCAAUUCGCUCAAGAUCCAUGGUGGAAAAGAUUUCCAAACCCUAAGUCAUUUUGGGCCUGGUGGAGGCACGUCGUGAGAGAUGAGAGCGGGGAGGAGUUCCAAACCCUAACUCUAUCUUAUAUAUGUCACAAUCAUAUUGAGCUCGAUGGCUCCGAGCAUGUUUCUAGAGGUGGGCCGCCCACCUUUGUAAACGAAUUACAGAGAUAGAUGUUUUUGGACUGCCUCCUUAAGUAGAGCUACCACCACCGAAAAUUAGGAUCUUUUUGGGAGGCACUAAGAAUUUCUAACCACCUCCAUUAAUAAAAUCCCUUAUCUCCUAAAAUAUUUUAUGUAGUAGUGCAAGUCUAAAAGAUAAAAGCUUGAACAGAAAAUUCAAAAUCCUUAGUCUCAAAUUGGAGUUUUGUCAAUUUUCCUCCAAAUGGGGAUUUCUAUGUGCUCGUGGGAAAUCUGCCUAAGGCAGCUAUGUUUAUUCGUGAGCCCCUAUAGCACCUAAAGAUCAUUCAACGAUGUCCCAAAUACCUGAGCACAAAUAACUUCGAGAAAAUAACCUCAAGAAAUGGUAUUUUUAGAAGCAAAUUAGCUCGCCAACUGCCUCUAAGAGCAACUCCAACACUACCCUAAACUUCACUUGGCAAAUCUUGGAUUUUGCCAAGUGUAAAGCUCAAAUGCCAAGUGAAAAAAAGAGGCUUCUCCAACAGUUAGCUAUUUUUUUGGCAAAUUUGGACUAUCUUGUGAUUCCUGAAAAAAUCAGAGGGACUUUUAUGCAAAAGUUGCAAUCUAUUUAAGGCAUGCGUGCAUGCUGAAUGUGUGGGUCCCACCGCGUAGGCAGGAUGCCAAGCGCUCCCAACGCUCCUAAAUUUGAGCCAGUUGGCCCUCUUUUUGCCAAGCAUCCUAUUUUGUCAAGUGCAUAUAGGGUAGUGUUGGAGGAGCUUUUUCCAUGUUUUGCCAAAAAUUAGGAUUUGCCAAGUGCAUAUAGGGUAGAGUUGGAGUUGCUCUAAUAAAAUAGCAUACAUUUCUAGAGGCGGCUGGAGUUGUCUCUAAAAAAUUGAUUUUUAGAGACGAGUUGACUCAAAAACAAUUUUUAAAGACAGAUUUUUAUAAAGUAGCCUCUACCCAAAAAUUGAGACGUCUCUAAAAAUGGACUAUGACUGUAGACCUGUAGCUGGAGCAGGCUUGGUAUUUGUAGUUUAGAAGUUGCAGCGGCAGCGAGAGUUGGUGUGGCUUGUACCAUACUCCUAUUAAGUAAAGGAAAAUUGAUAGUAGUAUACAGCCUAAUGAGACAUAGACCAAUCUAUUUCAUUUUUGUACUCAUUAGAUAAUCGUUUAAUCAUUUCGCAAAAAGAAAAAAAUGGAUAGACACACUUAAUAAUACACAGAGUGAUGAAACAAUAUAACAUAAGCACAGGAUAAAAUAUGAGUACAUUUAUUGUCCUUAGCACAGACUGAUACACUAUAAUUAUAAUCACUCUCUCCGGUACAAAUUAAGCAGCAACAGGGACACAGUUCACAUCACAAAUCAUCUGAUUAAUUUGGUAUAAGAUUAUUGUAAGGUUUGGCCAUGAUCCAAAGCAUGGACUUCUUUCUUAACGUUAUCCCAAAGAUCUCUGCCAUAUCAAAUUCUUCCAACUUGACGCCAUCAGGUAGAGUCCAAUCAAAAUGGUAAAGAAGGCUAACAAGAGCCAGCUCUAGAUUGGCCAAACCAAGCGUUAUGCCAGGGCAUAUUCUCCUACCUGACCCAAAGGGAGUGAACUCGAAGUCAUUACCUCUAAAAUCGACACUACUAUUUUCAAAUCUUUCUGGCCUAAAUUCCUCUGCAUCAUGCCACAAUUUUUUGUCCCUUGCUAUUGCCCAAGCAUUCACGAACACCUUGGUUCCCUUUGGAACAUCGUAACCCAUAACCUGACAUGAUUCACGACCUUCUCGAGGGAGCAACAGUGGUACUGGAGCAUGCAACCGUAAAGUCUCCUUGAUCACCAGCUGUAGGUAUCUCAAUUUGAUCAAAUCACCUUCAGUUAUCUUGUCUUGUCCUUUGAAGGCCUCCCUCACCUCUGAUUGGGCCUUAUGCAUGACUUGUGGAUUCCUAACAAGCUCUGACAUUGCCCAUACUAGAACAGUUGAUGAUGUUUCACUCCCAGCAGAGAAAAUAUCCUACAAUACAAUGUUAUAGUUACAAUUUGUAAAAGGGGACAUUCACAUUUUAAUUCUCAUGAGAAUGUAAUCAGUAAACAUAAGAAUGUAAAAAAAGAAUGUAGGUCAUAAAUUAUAUUCUUGUUCACAUUUUUAUUGAGUGCCAAUCGUGCAGAAUUAAUUAAAUUCUUUUUUAUCAUUUUAGUAAAUAAGAAUUCAAUUUAUAACCUAAAUUCUUAUUUUAUAAAAUACAAAAGAGUUCUAACUAAAAUGAAAUAAGUACAUAUAAGAUUUUCAACUUAACUUGAGGAUUAAGAAACUACAUCAACUAACAAAAUCAAAAUUUAAAAUCAAGAUCAAAUAUGUCAGGUGACAUGGCUAGCAAUAAGAGAUACCAUAACUUAAGCUAUGGUUUUAACUAAAUGUGUAUUGAAGACAAAUGGACGUGCCACGCACAGAGAAAGAGAAAUUAUAAAUAUGGAUAAAAAAUAUAAGGAAUAAUUGAUAAGUUGAUCUCACCGGUAAAGAAAGAAAUAUCUAUAUUGUGUCAAAAAAAAGAAUAAAAAUAAUAGCACAAGGAUAAUUAAUUUGUUUAGUUGUAGGUACUAAACAUGGACUACGAUACCAAAACUUAUUUAGUGUAAUAAAAUUCCAUUUGCCUAAUGCUAAACUAGAAAUAAAUUAGAGACCAUUAAUAAUGGAGAGGUUUUGUAGGAGUGUGGUGUUAGAUAACUAGAAGAUAUCUCGCGCAUUGCUACGAGAAUCGCAAAGAACUUGCUUGGAAUGAAAUUAAAAGAAGAUAAUGUGAAUAGCUUGCAACUAAGGGUCCAUUUGGUAGGAUUUCUCCACCGGCUUCAGUUUGUUUGAAGCCAUUUUCUGCCACACGGUAUAAAAUAAAACGGCUUUGCUAGUGAAACUCCUUAAAACCAGCUUUAUAAGAGCGGAUCUCACCCAAAUAACCGUGCUGACAAUCUCGUUGGUGAGAGCGAACUGCAGGCCACCAUCCCUCUGCAGCCUCAGGAGAACACCCAGAAGGUCCUCCUCGUCUCGCUCUGGCGCCGUCGCCAUGGCUUCAGCUUCACGCUCAUGAAUGAUGCUCCGGAUGAUCCGGUACAUGUUCCUCUGGCACCUCCUCGCGUCCCUCGCGGCGGCGCUGAACCGGCGUACCAGCUGCGAGGACGGGUACAGGUCCGCCAGGUUGAACCCACCAAACAGCCGCACCACUUCGUCUAGCUCAUGCAUGUACUCAUCCCGGUACUUGCACCGGUCGCCGACGACCGUGCGCGCGGCGACGUCGUUUACCAUGCGGCAGAUCCCGUCGCUGAGGUUGACGGGCCGCUGGCCGUCGGCAGACUCCCUGGAGACGGAGCGGAGGAGGUUCGCCACCUCCUCUUCCCGGAUGUUCCGGAACGUGAGCACGCGGCGCUGGCUGAAGAGCUCCACCAUACACAGCUUCCGGAGCUCCCGCCAGUGGGCGUUGUAGGCGGAGAAGAUGAUGUCCUUGCCGCCGCAGCUAAUGAUCUCCAUGGUGACGCUCAGGUUGCGGUCGCAGAAGGUGAGGUCGUGCGUCCUCAUCACCUCCCUGGCGGCCUCGGCGGAGGAGACCACCAGCGUGGGCACGGCGCCGAAGCGGAGCAUCAUGAGGGGCCCGUAGGUUCCGGACAUCUCGCGCAGCGCCCGGUGAGGCAGGUCGCUGAAGCGCGACAGGAGGAGGUGGUGCAGGCUGCCGAUGAGCGGCAGCUGCCAUGGCCCUGGUGGCAGGCGAAGCGCUGGUGAUGGCUUCGUGCGUGAGGACGUGACGUAGCUCCGGAUGAGCCUGAGGAGGAGGAGGGCGAGGAGGACGACGAAGGCUAGAAACUGGAUUCUCAUCAUGUCCAUAUUUUUGCCGGGGAUGGGACAAGUUUGCAGCCAACUGCGUCUCGACAACAUCGAUGACACGUAUUUAUACUAGGGGCUUGCUACCUGAAUUCUAGUUAUAUAUAUUUAUAAUACUAAUAAAAGUGUCCUUGCAACAAGUAAAAAGGUAUAAUGUUAUCCAUAGUUUUUUAUCUUGAAAAUAAUAAUUUUUCAUUUACAUCAUUAUAUUUUUAUUGCACUCAACAUGAUGCUAAAAAAGCAUAUCAUCACACUAUAAAAAAACAAGUUUUUAGGGUUUCUUCCUCUAUAAUAACCGUUCGAUUUGUACGCCGUGCUAUAUGAGUCCUACGUCAUGUAUGAUCUUACUUUUUUGUAUAACAACCGUUCGAUCUAGAUGUCAUGCUAUAUGAGCCCUCCAUCAUCUAUGAUCUUACAUGUAAGAUUUAAGACCCAUAUUCAAUCUCACAGUAAUGCUACCCAUCAUAAGUCAUAUCCUUCUCUCUUGUGUACUGUCGACUCCCUGAUUUUGACUCGACAUAUUUUUCUUCUAUUUAGUAAUCAAUUGCUUCUUCAUCGUGUAACUUUUGCUAAAGUCGAGACCAAUAGCACACAAUUAAUCAAUAGGAGUACAAACCAAUAACGGUAAAAUUAUUAAGAUAGAAUCAUACUCAUGUAUUCUAACGGAAAAAAUAAUAACUUGAUAGUCACUUGCCCUCCAUAUACAAUGGUCAUUUGCACCGACACGGAAGCUAGCAUUGCUUGAUUUGGCUAGUGUUGAUAUACGAGGCGGACACACAUGGCUACCUUUGCGUGCAUCUUCUUGGCUUCGACAUACUGGUCGUGUGUUUUUUUCUUUUGCUAUUUUCUAGCUAUUUAACAAUUAGUUGUUACUAUCAGCGUAAUUUGUGUAAUUUUUUAUUUGUUUUUCUGAAUUUUAUAUAUUAGUUAUUUAAAAGGAAUGAUUUUAAAUAAAGUUUAUAUUUUAUAAUAAAAGACGUUUCUUCUUUACAUACCGUUUUCAAAUUAUGGCCUGCUUUUUGAUUUUUGGCCUUUUUCUUCUUAUAGCUGUUGCAUGCCCAAUUGCCCAUGGUAAAUCCCAGCGUGUUGCCUGUUGGUUAUGCAAAGUUGUAGGUAGGCUACGCGUUGUCCUUUUCCCAAUUUGAUUUUUUUUACCGUUCGGAGCACGGUUCAGAGGUGUAGAUAGAUAGAGAUAAUUUCCAAACUGAAGAGGGUCGACUUUAAAAACCAUAAUUCGAGUAGAGAUUGGAGUUGAAGGAAAAAUAUUACGGAUCGAAGCCUAUACGGACUGGAUAGGCGAAAAAAAGAUGUCUGCUGGACUGAAAUUUUCAUAAUUAUAUAUUAGAAGAAAGAUUGUAGAUUUCGUUCAUUUUAAUUUUCUAGACAUAAUUUAUAAUUUUCGGUACCGAGAAUAAAAAUUUGUUAGACAAAAUUAUAAAUCUGACAAAUGUAUUUGAUCAAAGUUAAUAUUGUUUGACUCCUGAUAAAUGAGAAUAAGCAUUCUUUUAGGCACGGACAAAGAAAUUUAUCCACAAACAUGCGUGAAGAUGUGCUGUACAUACUAUGUACCCGUACUCCGUGAUGUACAAAACUAGGACCAGCAGAGGCUAAUUGUCUCUAUAGCAGCAGGCUACAAUAAUUUGUCUCCGUGGUCCAAAACGUGGGAAGCCUGUUAAGUGGUUGUUUGGUUCACAUAUUUGUUCACUUGUCUAAGUUGUAUUUUUUCUAACAGCCAACAGUGUUUUUCUUUCAUAAUAAAUCAGCGAAGAAUAUUUUCAACUAUAACUUUUCAGAUCAGCGAACAUGCUAGUCUCAUUUACUUUCAUUUAGUCAUUUUUUAUCUAAACACUAUAACUAAAUGAGGUUAAAUGGACUUUAGUCAUCUCUAGCAAUUCUGGAAUAACUAAAUAAGACUAAACUAUUUAGAAGGGACUAAAGUUUAGCAGCCCGAAAAACACCCGUGAUGUCCAUCCAUCCAUUAUAUAAGUUGUUGCUAGGCAGCUAGGGUCUUAGUAUUUUCGUUUUAUUUUAGUAAUUAGUAUCUAAUUAUGGAAUCUCUAGAUUUAAAAGAUCCAUCUCAUAAUUUAUAGAUAACUUGUACAAUUAGUUUUUUUAUCUAUAUCUAAUGUUGUAUGCAUGUGUCCAAGAUUUGAUGUGAUAGAUGAAAAGUUUUUAGGUGAAACUAAACAAGGCCCAGGUAUAACUAGGGACGGGAUAGAUAUGCAGCCAACUACGUGACGACAAAAUCUCGAGGAGCUGACACAGAUAUAUGGACUAGAUAGAUUUUAAUAAUAUAAUAGUACGUAUCAAUAAUGUAGGAAAUAAUGGUAUACUAUACUAGUUCAUAGGAUUCAACUGAAUAUUUUUGACAACAACGUCGUAUUGUGUUUGAUACUUCCACGCAACUACAGGUUAUUAGUGGCGUCGGUCCACGAAUGUGUACGUGCACGCCGCCUUUCGUUCAAGAUAUACUAUAUGUUAAUUCUGUAUUUGUUUGUAUAUAUAUAUACGCUUAAUUAUAAGACAGCGAUAGGCAACGGAAUAUAUAUAUACACACACGAAGAAAAAUCGCUGGAGUAAAGAUAGAAGCUUGUGUAGAUAUUCUCGCUAUGGAGUAGUAGUUCCAAUCAUAUAUAUAUUGUGCCGCUGUGAGAAGUAGCCAAUCACCAAACAGGAGUGCUCAGCUCACUGAUGGCACGUCGUCUAUCCGUAGAGGCGUAGACGGGUGCAUGAGUGCAAAUGGACAUGCAUGGUUUCGAGGACUUCCCAACACACCCACAGGGCCACAGCCCACAGGUGAUGUUUGUCUCCAUGUUUCCCUCCUAUUUCCGCUGCUAUUAAUUCUCGUUGCUACGUGUUUGUUUCAGCAGCAGCGGAGCCAUUCGCACAAGGGUCGAAUCCGGAUACCGGAAACGUCGUUACCGCCCACUCCAGGCCUUAUCGGUUUAGGGCAUGUACAAUCUAGAUAGGGUCCGUCUCUAAGACCAGUCGCAAUGUAUAGUUUCAUGGUAGUUACCAAGACUAUAAACUAGGUAACCGAGUCAUAUGAGUUUUAUGAGGAUGAAAACUCCUCUCUCAUCUGAUGAGACUGCUUCAUUUAAUGACCCUGUCAAGUCAGCAAUUUUGCUUAUGUGGCACCUUAUUUAAUGUGCAUGAUACUCUCAUGAAACAUGCAUUGAGAUUGACCUAAGUAUCUCGAAUCUAUGAUACAGACAGAUAUAAAGACAGAUUAUACAAUCCAUACUUGGGGGUUCUAAGGCAUUUAAUAAUUUGCAUGUAGCUAAGAUCAACUAUGGAUAUCAACUUGUAUACCACUGUGUGGCCGUUUGAUAGAAGACAAGUUCAAGUAUAAAUAAGAUGAACAUAAUUAUAAUAUUUUAAAACCACUAAUAUAAUAUAUAUUAUAUAUAAAGAUGAACAUAAUUACAUAAGCACACUCAAAGAGGUCAGUCCACCUAAUAAUCUUGUGCCAUGGAUCCUUGCAUUGCUUUAGAUUCCUUUUCCUACGGGGUGGAGCUGUCUUGUUGUAUGAUUGAACAACAUCAGACCAAUAUUGGUUGCCACCUAUAUUAGCUCCACAGGUCGAAACUGUUGAAUGUUCUAUCCAAGAGCUCAUGCAUCAAGCUGACAUCCUCAUUCUUUUUCCAAGGAAUUUGCUUCUCAGUCCUAGCAUUUUCAUCAUCAGUGUCAACUAGUUCAGGCUACUGCUUGUCCACUCUCUCUACUUCUACUGGUAAAAUUUCUUCAUGGUUGUGAACAGGUGCACCAACCUAAAAAUUGUGUGGCUGGUUUCCAAAGUAACUCAUAAACCCACCAGGUGGGCAUGGGUCGUCUUUAUCCCUGCAGGAAACAUAACAUCACUAAAAUGACUCUAUACAACAUUACUUUAAUUUGCACUAUCUGCUUCUCAUUCACACUAACAAAUAUCAAAUAGUUUAUAAGAAACAGAGCAUUAGUUUCAUUCUCAAACAUUUGCAACAAACAUCAUAGACCUUCAAAAGGAUCUAUGACACUACAUGCAGGGAAUAAAAUAUGUCAUUUGUCAACCAUGAUGAUCUGACCAGGAUGAACACACAUGCAGCCCAUAGCCACCCUCCUGCUAUUCUUCCCCAAAUAAGAUGAAACAAAUUGCAAUAUAUACAACUUAGCACAUUCAGCAGCUACCAAAGCUCUGUUCACAUUCAGAUACAGCUAGCAAGUUCACGCAGGUUCACAUUCAGAUAAUAACUAGCAAAGCUCUAUUCACUAACAGAUAAGAUAGAAUUUCACUAACAGAUAGGAGCAAGUCCAGAUCAAUUCACAGGUCAGGUGAUUAACAAGAUGGAUCCCAAGCUGCUGAGCGCACAAACGAAGGAGAAGCUGGAUCAACGUUGGUCGAAUUCCACCAAGCAGUAGAUGGUGAAGUGGGGAAUGGAAACCCACCGAAGACGAUGGAACCGUCGCAGCACUGGGGAAGGCACCUCCACUAGAUGUACCAAUGGAGAUAGGAGGUGUUGCCAUGCUGUUGCUGAGGGAACAGGAGAUGGGGGUACCCCGGUGCCACCACCGCUGAUCCACUUCCGCGACCUAGGGUUCAGCCCAGGGCAUCCGCGCCCAACGAUGAGCCUCCACCACGACUGAGGUUGUAGUUCGACGCCGUCGAGAUGGCUCCGCGACCGAAGGUGUGCACCGGGAACACCGCUAUCGCUGUCGCCGCAGUUGACGCAACAAUGGGGGUGUCCUUGCUCUUCUUGUUUGUGGAAGCUAGUUUGCACUUCCUCGCUGAGGUGCUAAACAUCGCAGCCACCAAAGGUUGGGGUGCCCGAUUGAGAAAGAAAGCUAGAGUGUUGUGGCUGCUUCACCGGUGAAAUAGGGAUGAGGCAGAGACGGAUUUGGCGGGACUGCUCCCUCCCAUGCGCGCCAAAACUUCAUUAGCAUGCACGCGAGUGCCCCAGAUCCGCGCGCCGUCGAGACAAGGGGACGACUCCUACAAUGCUGCUCGGCUGGUCUCCUUUGCAUCGGUGCAUGGGACGGCUCCGUCGCUUCACGAGACGACGGAAUAGUCGUCUUCAGGCCACAACGGCACAACAGAUUUUUUUUGUAAAAGUACCCACGAAAGGACGGGGUGAAGAGUUUUUAUAAAAGUACCCACGAAAGGACGGGGUGAAGAGCCCCGUUGUACAUACCCUUAUUACGCAACUCACGUGAGAAUGGAUAAAGGAUAUCUUAGGUUGGAUCCUAUGAACUAAUAAGUAUAAUUGAAAGUUUAGUCUUUAAAGAUCUAAACAAAUGAACUAGUUAGUGAGCUAACAACUAGCGAAAGCCUCAACUAAUUGUUACUUCACUAGCAUAUAGAGCCCAACUAGUUGGGCUAAUCACUAAUUCUAGUUCAUCCAAACAGCUCCUUAACCAACCAAACAAAUUGUCGUUUUUCAUUUCAGGCAACAGGUAGGGGCGGCACCCAUUUUCAUUUGCAGUACAGCCCCGAACUAAACAGAGAAAGAGAGACACACAUUUGGCGGCCAAAAAAUCUGGGUUUUGAUCUAUCAUUUUGCAUAAUAAAACUAAACAUCAUGCAAAAAUUUUUAGCAAAAAAAAUUAUUCUUCAUUUUGGAUUUUGGUCUCAGGAGGCCAAAAGCCCAAAAGAGUUACAAGAGACCAUAAUAAGAGCAAUAAAUUCUGUAUUCUAGACAAAACUAAAUAUAACCUUAAAAAUGUUAGUAUUUAGUAUUUUAUCAUUUCAAGGUAGUCGGCAUUUUGCAUUUUGCAUUUUAUGGGAAAUUAAACACCCCCUAGCACAACCAAAUCGUCAACUCCCAACACUGCAGGCUUGAUGGAGCAUCAUUACCACGCUUCGGUUGAAGCUAAGAGCUGCAAAGCAUUUGCCAGUGCCAUUACCACCACCAUUUCAUGUUGCAUGGCUUGACCGGUCGUAAGAGUCCCAUGCACGUCGCAACUCGCACAGGCAUUGCUCUUGCUCGCGGUGCCAUGAUUGCGCCUUUCACAAACUCAUAGUUGAUCAAUUGGAGCACUUGCGAUUAUUGAAUCAUUAUUGUACUACCAUUUAGUAUGAGAUUUGAAAUUUACUUAAUUUAAUUGGAUAAAUAACAGGCCAUAUCUAAUUAAUUAAGUCCAAGAGCUAACAAUUCCAGGCUGUAAUUAAUUGUGCGAGAUGAUGUGUUCCUAGUCCACGAUGACCUUGAGAAGGACAUUGAGGAAGACGAAGGCUGCAAACGAGAUCCUAGUUUCCAUAUCUGCCAGGGAUGGGAUUUCGGUGAGCUAGCUUAAAUAUAGAGUAUUAUGGCAUCUAGAAAUUAACAAUAAUACAGCAAUGCUUUACAGCACUCAAGUGUUUUACAGCAAUUCAACACUCAAUUCCUUUCUGUUCUCUUCCUCUCCCUCUCUUCUUCUCUAACUCUGGCAAGCUUAGAUGAGACUGUGGGAGGCAGGUCGGCCAAAUGGUGGAAACGGCAGGAGGACGACGGUUAGAGUUCCAGCGGUGUAGGAGGCGGUCGAACUAGGUCAGGGCGAGGGCAUCUAUGGCCAUACGACGGUGAGGGGAGGAGAAGAAGAAGGUUGUUGUGGGCGUAAUAGGGUCUCAUCGGAGCUCAAGACCCUACUGCACUGAGGCGGGGCAGUGGACGACGGUAGGGCAUCGGGAGGAGGAAGAGGACGAUGAAGAAAAAAUCAAGUGUUCUCGAGAGCCAAAACACUCAAGCGACAGAUGAUAGAUCCUAAUAUAGAAAUGCAACAAUGUAUCCAAAGUAUGGAGGCACUGCUGUGUUUGUUAUUCCCAUCCUAGAGGUAAUCUUUGGUGUCCACAGGGAGAUAUUUAUUUUGUUCGUGCCUCUCGAGCCUCACCAUAUCAAUUCUAAUUAUGUUUCCGUCUAAUGCUCCGUAUAUAUAAUACGCUAAUAAGAUAGUGAAAUAGACGAAACUGAUCGACACAUUAGGUUUUUUUUACAACAAAUAUUUUUCAUUUGAGCAGCAGGACGCUGCAAUCAGUCUAACAGACUGAAGGUUUACAUCUAUCAGAUGCAUCAGGAAUGGGCACUGAUAGGUAAGGCUCUGAUGAGAGCAUACAUGAUGGAAGAAAGAUUCAACAGGAACAAUAACUGAGAAAGCCUGUCUAUCUAAAGCAUAUGUUGUAUUAUUUAUGUUCCUAUUGAUUUUGAAGAUCAUGGCAUGACAUUGAUCACCUGUGUUCCUGAACAUCUGGGUGAAAAAGGUUUUAUCCUCCAGUCUACAGGAUGUUCUUGGUCAUCUUCAUGUAGGAAUUGUACUAGCUGCUGGUUAUUAGUGAGAAAGGUGGUGUCAGUGAAGUUGAGUCGUUCACUAACAACUGCUGCUAGAGCAAGUGCUACAACUUCCGCCAUGAGGACUGAGUGGACUUCCAAGGCUUGUGCUGUGAUGUAGAUGGUUUGUGUGGUUGUACCUAUGGAUUGACAAAAAAUCCCAAGUCCUAUAGCUAUAUACUGCCUGGUUGGUUGGUCAUACCUUAAGGAGGCAUCAAUGAAGCAUCUGACUCCUUGGAUGAGCUCCAAUAUAGAGAUGAAGUAUUUGUCUGUCUAAGGUGAAGCUCUUGCAUUAGAUGUGAUAAUACCUGGUGAAGUCGGGGUGGCUUGAUUUGUGAGCAUCAUUUUCUAGGGGGUUUGUGCUUGUUGUUCCUCCAUAGGGUGUGAGGUGCAGGUUCCUCCUGUUGGUGCUGCAUGUGAUCAGGUGCAGGCGUCUCCAUCUGUUGAGGUGUGUGGCUGUGAUCCUACGAAGUAAUAGCAAUGGCAGUUUGCGUACCUUGUGCAGUCAUUUGUGGGGGUUGAGGUGGGAUAAGUAGAGUGUCGGUUUGGUGGCUGCUAAUGUGGGCUACGACCACAUGGUGUACCUGCCAUGGAGUCCAAGUUUUUCUGUGAAAUCAAAUAUCAUUCCUAGCUUUCCACAAAUACCAGAAAGUGAUUAGUAAUUUGUUGAAUACAGUAGAUGGGAUGGCGGCGGGGAUGAAGCUUGGUAGGAUUAGUUGCACGCCAUUAGUAUCUUGAGGUAAAUUGUCAGUGCAAAGAAGGGGAUUUGAUGAGAAUACUGUUGUGGGAGGUGAUAGUGGAAGAAUAGGUGGGCAUCAUCCUCCACCACGCCAUAGGAACAUAGUGCUUGUCUAUGUGGGGGAGUAUCUCGCUGCUUGUUUUGUUGUAGCUAGGGCUCUUUUGAUGAGUCUCCAAGUGAAGGAUUUAACUAGAGAUGGUGGCUCCUUACUAUUCCAUUCUCUCUGCAUAAUGGAGUUAGCAUGGGGUCCACCUCAAGAUGUCAUGACCAUCACUAUGAAUAGUUGGUGUUACAGUUAUGACCUGUACAUCCUAAGCAUCAAAGAUGUUAGUGAUGAGGUGAACAUUCGUGUUAUGGGAAUUUGGUUGCUAAAGAUUAGAGAAAUGGUUGGCAUUGGAGAUUGAGUAGCUAGCAGGAUCAUGUGGUCAUGGAUAGAGUUCCGAAUGGGCACCAAGGGGUGGACCAUAUAGAACUGUUACUUGAAUGGAUCUAGUAGACAGAGUUGGAGCGAAGUUUAGUUUUGACCUACAAAAUAGAAGACCAGAAGAUUGAUCUAGGACCAGUGGUGUUGGCUUUCCAAAAGGAGGUGUUGUGGAACUAUUUAGCCUUAAGGACAGAGGUGAGCAUGGGGUUUUUAUUAGUAGCAAUGUUUGCCAAGACCCCCAUUCUUCUUGGGCUAGCAAAUGUCUUCCCAAGACAUGAACGCAAUGGGAGAUGUAGGGUUGUCUUUCUAGACUCUAGUGCACCAAAAUUUCCUGAUUAUAGUGUUGAUUUUACCUAUCAUAGUAUUAGAAAAUAGCACAGUACACAUGUAGUAUACAGGGACCAAAGCUAGGACAGAUUUGAUGUAAGUCAGUCUCCCUGCAUGAUUAAGCUUGUUAGCUUUCACAGUAGUUAACUUAGCUCUAAAUUUUUUAAGAAUAAACUCAUAAACCUUAUUCCGAUCAUUACGAUUAAAAUAAUCAGGUGGCCCAAGGUGCAUGCUAUUAGGAAGGAGGUCAGGGGUAGGAAAGAUGUUCCUGAUAUCAUUUCUAGUGGUCAAAGGCACCUUUUUACUAAAAAGGAUUGAGGACUUCUAAAGAUUGGGAGUUUGCCUAGAGAGGUGGCAAAAGUCUUGUAAAAUGUCCCAGAUUUUGGUGGCUUCAAUGAUGGAGGCCUCGCCACAUAAGAUUAGAUCAUCAACAAAGAGAAGAGAGUGAAUGGGAGGGCAACUAGGACCAAGGGAAAUGCCCAAAAAAUUGGAGUAAUGAGUUCAGUUUGAAGGUGAAUGGAUAGCUCAUUGGUGGCCACAACAAAAAGACAAUGAGAGAGGGGGCAGCCCGGGCGAAUACCAUGAUGGGGAGUGAAGGAGGUGGAAGGCUCUCCAUUGAUAAGGAUGGAGAAAGUAGUAGUGGAAAUACAAGCUUGAAUGAGGUUGGUGAAAUUGGAGGGCAGCCCAAGACGAUUUAGAGAGUCCCAAUUCAGACAAUCAAACGUUUGGCCAGGUCAAGCUUGAGAUAAAAAAGCUUGCUGGUUCCAGUUUUUUAGGUUGGAAGAGAUGUGCCUGUGUUUUGAUGAAUGCAACUUAAGAUUAUUGAGUCAAUCGACAGCAACUUUGGCGUUUAGUAGAACACAGCAUGGUGCCAAGAUGAUACUACGAUGUCAGCAAAAACUUGUGGGAUCCACCAUUUAGUAAACGAUUAAAGAAAUUUUGAUUUCUUUUUUGUCGUUUCUGCACACCUCCAUGCCUACCAUACGUGUACUGUGUUGUUUUCAGUGGCGGAGGCAGCUGGCAAGGUUCGGCCUCCGCCGUACCUAAAAUGUAUAGAAAACACUAGUAUAUUAUGUGUAUAUACGGUUAUACACGUGAAAUAUACAUGGCUUAGCCUCUGCCACUGUGCACGAAUAGAUUUUGUUUGUGGGCUGGUAUCUCGUGGGCUUACACGACUACGAGCCCGUUCGCUUCUUAGCUGUACUUUUUUUCAGUGAUUUUUUUUUGACCAGCGAAUAGGCUCUAUGUCAAAAGCCCACGACACUAUCCAUAGAAGGAAGCAGCUCAUUGGUCUUCCUGCCUUCCUGGCUGGUCGACUACUCCAGGUUUUAGUGGCCGACUUGUUUAGUUUCAAUUUUUUUUAGCAAAAUAGAUACUGUAGCACUUUUGUUUGUAUUUAACAAAUAUUAUUCAAUUAUAGACUAACUAGGCUCAAGAGAUCUGUCUCGCAAAUUAUAGACAAACUGUAUAAUUAGUUAUUUAUUUUAUUUAUAUUUAGUGUUUCAUGCAUGCAGUGGCGGAGGCAGGAUUUUUGCUUGGGAUAUGCCAAACAAAAAGUUUUCAUAUACAAAUCGGUAAAAUCUAUUUAGCAAUUCGGUAGAAUUUUAUAAAAAAAAUGUCUAACAAUUCGGUACACAACUGUUAAGGCCUUGUUUAGUUCCAAAAUGGACAUUGUAGUAUUUUCGUUUGUAUUUAAUAAAUAUUAUCCAAUCAUAGACUAACUAGGCUCAAAAGAUUUGUUUCGCAAAUUACAUGCAAAUUGUGCAAUUAUUUUUUAUUUAUAUUUAAUACUUCAUAUAUGUGCCGCAAGAUUCGAUGUGACAAAGAAACUUUCAAAAUUUUGCUAAUUUUUUGGGACGUAAACAAGGCCUAAAUGGCAUAAGUCGUGCGUCCAUGGUGUGUUUGAAAGGAGCGUCCGAGAGCAGGUGCGAGACGAAUACCGAGGUCUUGUUUAGUUCUUCUAUGGUCUCCAAUGGGAGGGUUAGCUGAUCCACAUUAGUUAACCACUACUCCACAUUGGGCAAAGUGAUUUUGUUAACGCACGUAGCCACGGUAAAUCAUAAUUAAAGAGCCAUCGUGAUCAACUUUCAUUAUGUGAGCUUGAACAAAAUGAUCAACAUCAAGAGUUGGCCUACAAAUAAUUGUAGAGCUUUGCUAAAUUUCCACACCCUUUCUCCCACUCCAAAAAGCCAAAGUGCUCAAUCCUUAAGCAAAUCAUUCCACCAGGAGAACAAAAGCAAUGUUGUGGUGAUCAACAUCAAGGUAUAUCUGUAGAGCUUUGCUUUUACCGGUUAACGUGCAAUAUGAGUGCACAAUUAUGUUUAGGAUAGAUUUAUUAAGCUAAUAUUGUUAUCUAGUGCCACUAGGUGGGGACUAACAAUACACAUGUGUUAGACUCAGUGACAUGGUGAGGAAGCAAGUGAAAACCUUUGAAAAUGCAAACUCAGUGCUAAAGGUGUUAUUGUUCCGUCUGCCACAUUUGGGAGAUAUCAUAUUUGAAAAAGGGUUUAAGAGAGGGGCUUGGUGAGAUGGUUUGAAUAGUCACUAGAUAAGUCCGGUGGUCAUCAGAGCUUAGGCACACCCACUUUACUAGUCUAGUCAUCAGGCUGUCUCACUCUGUAGUGGGCCACCAAAAAUAUCCAUGCCUCUAGGUCCGAGCACUAAAGUUUAGGCUCCUUCACUUUGGGAGAGAAGGGGACGCUGGACACGAGGCAACAAUCGGCAAUGGCUGCAAAGCACACAAAGUUUAGAAGGAUAAAGGAAGACGACUAGAGGAGGUUAAAUAGUCAUUUCUAUAACUAAAUCAUGAAUCCUAGGCAAAUAAAUAACAUUAAUAAACUAUUUGUCACUUCCCACUAUAACAGCAGAAAUAAAACAACAGAGAUAAUCUAUUUUCAUAACAAUACAAUAAAAGGUACAUGACUCAUUAUUUCCAUGAUGAUUCCAUCCCUACCUGCGAGCGUGGAAAGCCUAAAAAGCCUCUCUCCACGGCCUUCCUAAAAAAAGCCCACCUGGCCACCUGUAGUUCAAUAUAAGCUACUGGAGAAGCUAGGCGUUUGGUCCAUCUCGAACCGCUUUUAAAGCUAAACAGCCCAAUAACCCAUUUCAAACAAGGUCGAAGCCCAAUGAGGCAGGUGGCCCAAAACCUGACCCGAUUCUCUCCCAAUUCUUUUUCCUCGUGUUGGAAUCGGAAUUGGAAUUGGAAUUUGUACGUAGUGGCGGCGAUAUCUGGUUCAGAGUGGGUGUUGAUUCGUGGAGAGCAGCUGGUCGGGCCCAUCCGCGCAGUUGGCUUGGCUUGGCCGCUGCCGCCCGUGCUCGCACCGGCCGCCCCACCUCCAUCUUCCCAUGGUGGUGGUAUCAUCCCCCCCCUUUCCUCUUCCUCCUCCCCACGUGCAACCACCUAACCCCUCUCCCACCGCCCUCCUCGCCUAGCCCGCCGCCACAGCGGCCGUCGACGAGCGCCAUGCCCGCCGCGGCGUCCACCUCCGCGACCUCGCUGCUGCUGGGCGGCGGCAGGCUCCCGCGGCUCCAGCUCCAGUCCCUCCGCGCCCCCGCCAAGCCCCCCUUCCGCCGCCCGGCCUCGUCCCCGUCCACACCGCUCCCCAGAUGCCGCGCCAGCGCGAGCCCCCGCCCUCUGGGCCCCGUCUCCGCCUCCGCCCUCGCGCUGCCCGUGUCGGUGACGGCCGCUCCCCCACCGCAGGUGGAGGAUGGUGGCUGGGUGGGAGGCGCGGCCGCGGCCGCGGCCGUGAGGAGAGUAGCUGUGGCGGUGGCGUGCGGGGCGCUCGCGGCGGCGUGGUGCCGCCGGGCGAUGGCUGUGGGGGCGGCCACGGCGGCGGGAGCGGGAGCGGGGGCCGGGGCCGGGGCGACGGGGGCGGUGGAAGCUGCCGCGGGGAUUGGAGGGAUGGCGCUGCACGGGGGCUGGCCGAGAGUGCUGCAGAUUCUGCAGCUGCUCAGGGAGCAGGGCCUGGUUCUGGCCGCGCUGCUCGGCCUCUCUGCGUUCUUCUCCAUGGCAGAAACUUCUAUCACGACGCUUUGGCCUUGGAAGGUGCGUUCAGCAAGUCUACGGAGACCCAUUUUCUUAAACUCCUGUUGUUGCCAUAGUAAUUACUGUACGUACGCGAAAUGAACUAUGCUUCCAGUUUUGCAAUCGGUUUGGUUCACUGAGCUACGAGGUAGGAUAUUGGGAGAUUUUUGGAUACUUAGAUGAGCAGAUUGGUAUUGGUGUAGUGUUGCUGCUAAGAGGGGAUGCUGAGAUGGGGUGAGUGUCUUAUGGGUACGUCCUUGUAUCAACUACUAUACUCAUUCUAAAUGGGUUUAUGCAAUGAGUAUUUGUAUGAACAAAGCAAACGGAUACGCACUAGCUUAGGCUGUUGGGUUGGGCUGUGGCAUGUGUGGGUCGAGGAUGUGGCGGUUGUCAUGCACAUCCUGCUUCAGCAGUGAUGUGAUAAUUUUGUCUCGCUUGCUGAUGACAUAAUCCACAGCACAAGUUUGUAUUUGAGAAGUGAUGUCACUGCUGGGAGUGUUGCUGAAAGACAUGGGGAAAGCAUUAUUGCUCCUUCCUUUUUUUUGUAGGAUAGAGGGCUGAGCAGCAGGCAUAACUGAUUGACAAGCUGACAACAGCAAGGUGCUUCAGAUAUAAUGACAGUGUGCACAUGCGCUUUAGUGACAUGUUGUGCUAGUGAUCUGUAGGAGAAUUAGGCAGGGAAUCUAUGCAAGGAAAGUUUUUAUUAUUUUGAAACUGGAACUAAUGACACUGGUAUUGGAUUACCGGUCUUACUGACUUUAUAUAUAAUCUCCCUUCACACCUAAUCUCAUCAACUGGAUAGGUAUUUCUGGUUCAGAAUAUUUAUAGCUUUGAACAGAACAUUGGUGCUCUUGUAACUAUCAUUAAAGGGGUCCUGCCUCUUUGUUCAUGUUUAUCAACAUUUAAAUUCAAUUCUAAUUCUUCAAAGACUACAACAAGGUGAUCAAUGUAAAUUGAUGGCUGGAUUCGGUUAAUCACAUGUUGAACUUGCAUUUUAUUUUUAGUAGAGGUUUAUUUGCAAGCACAGGAAUAAUGAAGCCCUAGGUUUAGUGCAUUUUUUCCCUCCAGAGUUGAGCCUAAGGAUUCAAGUUCACUGACACUUAUCAUUGUGGGUUCAAGCAUUUGCACACAUAUUAGCAUAUUGAAAUGGCUAAAGUAUUAGAGGUUGGUGCUAGAGUCUUUCCAUAACAGCGCACUUGGGACUGAAGUUUGAUUCAUGCAAAAUUUUUCAAUUGAAUCAUGCUUGAUGUUCAAAAACUAGCAAGAAUCAUAGAAAUAGCAACACUGUAUUGUGUAAUAGGUUGCAUACCUUUUCCCCCUUUGCAUUUGUUUAUUUUUCUAACGUUGUUUGGAAAUUGCCACAUCAAGGCCUAAUUUUCUAGUGAUCUGCCUAGCGCCCAAUAGCUAGCUAGCCUCUCUACUCAAGCAUUGAGGCAUCACCCCCUUCUACCCACCUAGGGCAUUUUCAGAUCAGUGUUUUGAAACUUUGCUUCGUAGUGGUACUCUUUUCUUAUUGUAACUGACUGUAUGCUGAGAGCGAAUAUCUAUAUGCUGAGACUUUGCUGAUUUCUUUUUUCCUUUGCAUUAGGUUCGUGAACUAGCUGAGAAGGAACCUGAGAAUGGUGUUUUCAAAAUGCUCCGAAAUGACGUCACUCGUUUCCUGACAACUAUUCUCAUUGGCACAACGUAAUCCAUGGCAUUUCUAAGUUGUGCAUCACUCAUUGCAAUUUUGUUUUACUAACCCUAAACCCUAAUCUCGGGCAUAAUUUGUAUGAAAUAGUGUGGUCAACAUUGGCGCAACAGCAAUUGUUACUGAGGCAGCAACAGCAAUGUUUGGUGAAGCAGGUGUUAGUGCAGCAACAGGUGUCAUGACAGUAUGUCUCCUGUCUCAUACUGGCCUUCUGCUCUUGUGUAAGUGUUCUUUAAUCUAACUAUGGAGCACCAUUUUUUAGGUUGCCAUCUUACUUCUUACAGAGAUCACUCCCAAAAGUGUUGCAGUCCAUAAUGCCACCGAGGUCGCUAGGUUUGUGGUAAGGUGAGAGAUAUCAAGUAUAACUUAGUUUCAAACAUGUUUAUUUUGAGUACUGAACAUUGUGCAUUUGUUGCGAUAUAUCAGACCGGUCGCAUGGCUUUCGCUGAUCCUCUAUCCAGUUGGGCGGAUUGCUACUUUUCUGUCUAUGGGAAUGCUAAAGAUUCUAGGCCUGAAAGGGAGAAGGUAAGACUGUAAGAGUAUGUAUAAUACUCUAGUUCUUGAUCAACUAGAAGAUAAAUUCUUUGAAAAUAUGCCAACUCAAUAAGCUCAUGUUAGUCAUAGAUUAUAUCCCCCAUUAGUUAUGAUAUGCUUUCAAGAAGGAUACACAAACAAUAAAUUAAUUCAUGCCACAAGAACCACACAGAACUCUUUUUUAAGAGCAUAUGGCUUGCUCUGCGUAGUGGAUAUAACCAGGGAAGCACAAGGAUUGAGUUUCUAGGUGUGUGUGGGUUCUGCUCAGGUGGGCAACUCUAGCUUCAUCCAUCUGUAUCUUUUUCUUGAUGAAAUGGCAUGCAGCUCUUUUGCGUCAUUCGAGAAAAAAUAACCAGGGAAGCACACUGAUUGAGUUCCUGGUUCCUGCCAAAUAAAAUCUCACCUGUUUUCUUUUAAAAAUGGAUUAAACUUGUAUAUUACUAGAAUUCAAGUACAAAUGAGAUGGUACAACAUGGACUAGAUUAGACUAGUUUGAGUAUGUGUUGAGUCUAGUUUAUAGGGUGAUAGUUGUACUUUCUAAAAUUUCUAUAAUUAGUAAAUAGUGCAGUGACUAUAUUUUUAAUCAAUAGAUGACCGUUGACACUAUUCCAAGAAUUGCAUAUCAUCUGUUAUUGUUCAUGAAGGAUCUAAUUCUAGUUUGAAUUUGCUAGAAACUUAUUGAUUGCUUUCUGUAUAAUUUAGUUUACAAAUUGAAUUUAGUAUCUGAUAUUGUAAUACAAUACACAUUUGUAUGUUAUUUUUUGCAUUUUUUUUACAAAAUCCAGUACUCAAGUACAUUGAUUUGCUAUGUCUUUUAGUUACUACAUUUGUAUAUGUUUAACCAAUAUACAAUUGAGAUUCCUAUAUAGAUAAGAUUUAGUUUUUCUUUUUCAUAACUCUUGACAUUUCUGGAGAUCUACUUCUGAAUCUUGUGCAUCAUAUACACUUCUUUCCUCAGUGAACCAUAUGUUACUGAAGAUGAACUGAAGUUAAUGUUACGAGGAGCAGAGUUGAGUGGUGCAAUUGCAGAAGAUGAACAGGUUAGACAAUCUAGUAUAUGGAGAUGCCCAUAUAUUGUGCUGCAUAUUUCCUUCUUUAUUCUUUAUGUUUCUGUGUACCUCACAGCAAGAUUUUGUUAUCCAGUGCAAUCUAGGCAAAGCCUUUACUUACAAUUUUUAUAUCAUAUAGAAAGCUGACUACUUACAUAAAUAAAGAGUGAAUUAAUGAAAUUUCAGGAAAAUAGUAACUAACGUUUUUGCAUGAUUUUAACUGCUAAUUUAAUGUUUGUACACCAUCUCAUCACAUAUAUCCAGAAUUUGAAAAGCAGUAUGGCCCCAAAGGUUUGAGUUAGAUUAUACUGUUGCAGACUAGGAUUUUGCCUCUUGAUAGUUUACUAGCACACUUUGGCUACUUCUUUGUUUUCUUGAAAACGCAGGAGAGCUGCACUUCAUUAUAUUAAGAGGAUAAAGGGCAAGAGCCCGAACAACCCCACAAACACCAUACACACACCACACACAUCACACACUCACGCCCCAACAGAAAUGUUACAUUCGCGCCCGUAAGAAAACACACAACGCGACCACUACUAGGCUAAACAUUUCUAACUAUCGGGGAGGAGGGCAGUCAAGAAUGAUAGCUCUCGAGCUGCUGCCAUAGACCAUAAACGGCGCUCCUCGCCUGCUAUGAUCAGAGCGCCAGCAAGGUUUGGAGCUGCUCCAUCAAAGACACACCCAUUGCGAUGGUUCCAUAUAGUCCAAGCUCCGAGCAUAACAAGAGAAUUAAUUCCUUGCCUUGUCAGCCCAUCAGCAGUGCUGCUAGCCUUCUCCCACCAAGCAUGGAAGGAUAAUUCUGUAAGCUGAGGGGACAAAAGCCUGAUUGAACCAAAAUUCUCUUGUGAACACACAAUGGACAAGUAGAUGGUCGAUAGUCUCCUUUUCAUGGUCACAAAGGAGGCAAUUCUCCGGAUGAGGUAACCCUCGGCGUGCUAGACGAUCAGCUGUCCAGCACUUAUUGUGCGACCAGCCACAUAAAGAAACGGCAUUUGGGCAGCACCCAUGAUUUCCAAAUCUUUUCCCAUGGUCCAAAAAGAGUAGAUCCGAAAAAGAAGCCUUCAUAUGCCGAUUUAGCCAAGUAUUGUCCAUUAGAGGAGAGCCUCCAUAGGUGCUGCAGCUGAAAAUCCAGAAGUAGAUCCCACCAUAAGUGAAAGUAGUCAACAAACCCACCAACUGUGAGCGCUCCUUGUAUGUCCAAAAUCCAAGCCCGGUUAGUAAGGGCAUCCUGGACAGUAUGCUGCUUAACCCUCCUUUUAGGAGUAGCCACAAAAAGUCGAGGGGCAAGAUCUGCAAUGCAUUGCCCAUUGAUCCGAUCUGUCCAGAAAAGAGUGUUUGCACCAUCCAAUUUCAGAAGUUACUGCCACUGAGUAGAAGGCUCUUACUUGCUUCGGCACAUGGAAUGGUAGAGCAGCCCAAGGACAAUGAGGUUCUGUUUUCUGCAGCCAAACCCAUCUCGUGCGCAAGGACCAGCCAAGGGUUUUUAAAUCUGAAAUUCCCAGGCCUCCAAGCUCUGGUGGGCCACAGACUUUGACCCAAGCCACAAGACAAUGACCACCUUUUUGCAUAUUUUCGACCCCUCCAAAGAAAGCCACGCCAAAUUUUAUUUACCACUUUGAUAGCCAUGGAGGAAAGUCGAAAGCAAUAGCUAAGUAAAUGAGCAUUCUCAGUGAGAACUGAUUGUACUUGAACCCUUCUUCCAGCCCUUGUCAUUAGGUCUGCCUUCCAGCCAGGAAGUUGAUCUGCAGUACGAUCAAUAAUAGGCUGCACUUGUUUCUUUAGGGAGAGGGGCAGACCUAAGUAUUUGCAUGGGAAAUCCGAGAGGGGCACACCUAGCUAGUUUCUUUGGCUACUGUUAUCCUUUAGGUAUUUUGCAGAACCUUUCCAUAGCAAUCCCAUUAAUCUUUAGGAAGCGAUCCCAUUUGUUAAAGCCCCUGCAGGCAACUUUCAAGUUCAUUAUUCUCGAUCACAGGUAGUCAUUCUGCAUAUUUUUCCCUCAGAAUCAUCAUAAGAAUUGGGUUAAGUGGAUAGGUCAGACUAUAGCAUGGAAAUACAUAAGUACUGAUAGGUUGUUGAAACUAUCUAAGACUACAGAUUUAUCGUGUCAAUUUGUCACAAAUAACAGAUUUUAGCUGAUGAAAUCAGUACUUCUGCAGUACAUAGAAAUACUAAAUGUGUAGUUUUAGUUUUGCAAAAACAAGGACACUAAAUUUAUAAUUCUGUGAUAAAACUUCUUAAAUCUGUAGUUUUGUGAUAGCAUAGCCCACUCACACAUAUACAAAAAAAAAGAAAAAGAAAAAAAGGAACCAUAUAGUUAUUUAUGUGCUUAGAUUCUAGGCCCUAGAACUAGAACCUAUAGCUGUGUUACACUAUUAUGAAUUCCUAGUCCGUGCCUGCUUGUGCAGGACACUUUUCUACUUGAUCAGCUAAAGUCAGCACCUGAGUCUUUUAACAGGAUAUGAUCGAGAAUGUCCUGGAAAUUAAAGAUACACAGGUGAGGGAAGUAAUGACGCCUUUGGUGGACGUAGUUGCAAUUGAUGCUAUUGCAACACUUAUUGAUUUCAAAAACUUGUGGGAAACUCAUCAGUACUCUAGGUAUUGUCAACUAUUAUUGUCGCGUGUAUUUUCAAGUCUUAUCACUGACAUCUGCUGCUAUUUGUUAUUUCCAGAGUUCCUGUAUUUGAGGAGCGCAUAGAUAAUAUUGUUGGAAUUGCAUAUGCAAUGGACAUGCUUGAAUAUGUUGAAGAGGUAUGUCUCUUGUUUACCAUUUAAUGUAAAACUUAAUCACAGUGAGUCUUAUUUGCUCCACAUGAUGCUUCUCUAAAGGGAAAGUAAAAGGUGUAUUUUUCUUUUGAAGGUUGAGAAGCUGAAUGAAAUCACUGUUAAGAAAAUCGCACAUAUGCCUACAUACUUUGUUCCAGGUAAUUUUUAGUAACAUUGUUGGAUACAAGUAUCAUGAUGAACUAAAAGAAGGCAUCUGUCAGUAGUUAUAGGGUUGGAUGUUUUUCCACAACAAUUAAUCAUUUCUGCCACAUGUUUUCUCCCAUCUAUGCAUCAUGGAUGUAACAUAUGAUACUGUUUCAUCUGGCAGAUUCAAUGUCUGUUUGGAACCUAUUAAGAGAGUUCCGGAUCAGGCAGGUUCAUAUGGCAGUGGUCCUUAAUGAAUAUGGUGGAACUAUUGGUGUAUGUCCCUAUGAAACCCAUUUUUUAUACUUUACAAACUGGACACAGUUUAGUACUUGUUAAUAUUCUUGUUAUGCUUUCAUCCAAGGCUAGUUGCUCAAUUGAGACCAUUUUGACUUAUGGCACACAACGAGGUUCAACAUUGUUUACUCCAAUCAAUUUUUAGUUGUAACUUCCAAGCAUGCUAGUUAGUUUGCUAAUAAUUGAUGAAUGCUAGUCAGUACAUGGUGACAUUUUGAUGGCCAUUUAUUGGCAACACUACUGGCUUUUGUUCCACAAUGGUCGUGUUUUUAGCACAAGCAUGUGGUGCGAUGCUUCAAGUGAUCUUGCUGCACAGCUUAUGUAACUGCAGCAAUGGGGCACUUUUCAUCUGUUGCAGUAGCAGUCCCUGUUGUUCAUGGUUUGUUUCCUUUUAAGAUAUACCCCACACAUAGAGAUUAGUUAUGCUCCAUGCAGCAGAGAUUAUUACUUUCCACAAGUUUAGAGAUUGUUUCUUAGGAAGUAGUUAUGCUCACAGUUUGUUCAUCAGUUUCUGUUUUCAGAAGUAGUUGAUGAGCGAUGAACAUGUUUUGAUUAUGUUUGCUGCUGAAAGGAUAAUUCUUUAAGAUGUUUUUCUCAUUACUGAUGCUCAUUGGUAAAAGUUGCAAAUGAUUGGACAAAGCUACUACCCGUGAGCUUCCUUUGUCUCACAUACCCUUCGAGCAAUUACGCUUUAAUGUAGCAAUAUCUAUCCAUUACUUGCAGCAACUAAGUCCUAUUGUAUUCAGAAAUGUUUAUUAGAACAGUUUGUAAUUUCAUAUGUUUAUCACUGCAUGGGACAUUGGGAAUUACUCUGACCUUUGGCCAAAAAAAAAUGCAGAUUGUAACACUAGAAGAUGUAGUGGAAGAAAUAGUUGGUGAAAUAUUUGACGAGAAUGAUUCCAAGGUGAUUAUUUCUGGAAUUUUUUAUUUCAAAUCGCAAGUGGGUGUUCAGUGCCAUACAUAUGCAUGCUAUUAUUUUCUAUUUCUUUUUCAAAAUUAUUUCCCCCUUUCUUUUGGUUUAUUAUUCCCUUUUUGCCUUGUAACUAUCGUUCUUAUAUUACAUAACUGACUUUUCAUAUGUUGGUAAUAAAUAAUGAUAUGCUAGCAUUUGAACUUACGAAAUUUAGUGGGCCAAACAUACUGAGCCAUGCCAAAAAAGACAGGCAAAUCAUACAGUCAUAUUUUAGCAGCAGCAGUGCAUUAGCGCGGUGGGUACUGAGCCGGAGUUUGCAUGUGCCUGAAGGUGGCUGAAUGAAUAAGGUGGAUAUUACCCUACCCGCACCCAAAUCAAAAUGUGUAUUUUAUUUCUACCCAUACCCUCCCCAAUUAAUGCGGGUGUGGAUUUGAAUAUGGGGAUUGAAUAUCCAGCGGCAGGUAUAAAGAUUAGAUCUCCUGCCUCAGUGCUUCUCCAAGAUCUGGAAGCAGCUGCUUCACUCCUAUUUUCUGUAUCCUAGUCAAAACAAAGGAUUUUUCCAUGUAGCAAGCUAGUUGCUCUUUGUCAUUUGCUUAGGCAGUCUCUCAAUUCCUUCUGCUACUCUGUUUUUCACCCUUUCAGGAGGAAAUCCAGAAGAAAACAGGCUAUAUAGUGAGGCGGGGAGAUGGAACAUUUGAUGUUGAUGCAAAUACAUCAAUAGAUCACCUCUCUGAAGAGCUUGGUAUCAAAAUACCAGAGGUAUUGUUUCUCAUUUGAUCUUAGCUUUCUCUACAGUUGCUAUGCAUUCCCUUGGACAUGUGUAUAUUUAAGGAAGGUAUGGCUCGGAAAAUAGUAGAUUGAUUAUGAGUAGUACAAAAGGGUAGGCAAGGAUGAUCUGGGAUUUAUAGAACAAUACCCAAUCAGGGAGAUCCUUGCCUAAUAGCUAAUCAACUACAUAAAACCCAUGGAGGCAGGCUUAGGUGCCAGGGCCCAUGCGGCCAGCCCAAUAGCCCUCUGGAAACUCCAUUCUAACAUAUAUGUUGGAGUGGACACUGUAUGAUGAUCAUCGAAAUGUGAGUUCCAUCAUUUAGAGAUGCCUGGUUUGCAGAACCUAUACAGAUAUAACGUUAUUAUAUCUAUUUUUUGGUGGAAACUGGACAUUUAAUAUUUAGGUCAACAAAAUAUUCACAAAUGUUCUGUUUGUAAAAUAUGCCCUUGGUAGUCAUCAUUUAUAUGGUGCUCUGUAUUUCUGUCAUGUUUCUCGUAGAUUGGCUGAUAAUCUUGAGACACUUGGACACUAUCUUUUGGCAGGGGCAUCAGUAUGAGACGGUGUCUGGUUUUGUCUGUGCAUCUUUUGGCUAUAUUCCAGAAGAAGGUGGGAAAAUGCUUGUGAUUCUUGAAAAGGAUUACAGAGAAGAAAACGGUGAAUAUCAGGAGGAAGGUUCUGAUCGCCAAGAUGAUAGAGAAAAAACUCAAGCUUACGAACUUGAGGUAAUUGUUACAACUCCUUGUGUACUCUGUUUGCUCAAGAGUUCUAGUACCAGGUCAAUUAUUAUAAUGCGAUUAUCUUGUCAUCGCUAGAAAUCUUUACUAGUAUAUAUAACUAUUAUGAAUUUUCCUUCAUUACUUGAAAGCUGAAAGACACCACAAAAGCUUCAAUUUUCUUUGUUGAUGCAAUACCAUGAAACCUUUUUUGUUAAAUAACUCUCAUUAGAACCAAUUUUCCAUACAGGGCAUUUGGUUCUUAGAUCAUUUUAUAGGAUAUUUCGUACUAUAAGUAAGAACCAACUACUAUCCACAAUUACCUCUACAUGCUUGUUUGUGCAUAUAAAAAGACAACAAUACUCAGAAGGUUGCUGUAACAUGUCCACACUCCGCUUUUGUGGUGCUAAUACUACCGAACAUUUGUAAUUGCUUUUUUUAUUUGAAGCUAAAAAAAGAAAGUAUACAAAAACUAAUAGAUAAGAAAACCAACUACUCAAUUGUCAAUUCAGAAUUCAUACUGUGGGUUAUAAGGUUAUUUCAGUGAAAUUGUUUUGGUAUUGGUACACAACCUUUAUUAGUUGGUGCAACUCCCAUUUCCGGAAGUCUUCGUACACUUUAAUUGAAUUGCUGCAGCCCUAGGAAUCCAUAGUUUCUGUUUCACAAUUCACCCAAAGUUUCAUUCUUUGUUGCAGAAUUAAAUAACCUUCUGUAGUUGUUUUCACUACCUUUAUUACCUGGCUUCUCUUGCUCACAGAUAGUGGAAGCUAAUGCAAGGAAGGUGGGCAAAGUCCUAUUUAAGCCAAUAAGCAGUGAAUGUGUUGGUGUUGACAACAAGGGUGUGAACCGCCUGGUCUCCAAGAAGAUCAUCAAACGGAAGAAGCAGGGCUAUGAUGAUUCCUCCGGUGACGAGUAUCCAGAUACAACAGAGAAUGGCUGCCCUGCUGAGGCACUCUCCUACUCGGAUGGUAACAGUGCCUUGUUGGAAGAUGCAAGCAGUUCUAGUGCCAAGAGGUGACAAUAAAGGAACUCCAAGACCAUCGUACUACUGGUAAUAAUUACAGCACACCGUCACCGGUCCUAAUACCCCUUGUUACAACAGAAGAAGAUGAGAAGAACAUAGUAGUAGGCUACCCAAAAAAAAAAACUGCGAGAGCAACACCAAGAGGUUAACAGCAGUUUAAGGCAUUGCAACAUUUUUCAGUAGCAGGAGUAGCAGUAGUAGCAGUCUAGAGGUGCAGCGAGGUGUCGACGUCGACUUCACCAGAGACAUGUUUGUAGUUGUAGGUCUUACUGGGCCACAGCUCCACCGCAAUGGGGUCGCUAUCGCCGUGGAGCUGGAAGCUUUUGCAUUCACAGACAGUGGUUGGCACGGCCGGGAAUAAGGAGGCUGCGGCGGCAACAGCGGCAGUGGUUUCCCGCAGCGGCCUGCACGGGUAGAGCAGCUCCGGGUGGAAGAACCACUUGACGGGCAUCUCCCUCGGGGAGGCGGUGGCCGCAGGGCGGGGGGCGAGCACGUGGAGAAGCCUCUCCUCCCGCUUCUCCCUGAUCCUCUCCAGCUCCCUGAACCUCUGCUGCAGCAGGGCGAUGGAGGAGAACAUCACCUGGCCUUCGCUGCUCUGCACCCCCAUGAUGACUGGGCGAGAGGGGGAGCUCUCACUCCAGCUCCGAGUUUCAGUUACGUGUUCGUGUCGUGUGUAUCUCACUCAAGCGUCUGUCUACUUCGCUCGGUGUGUGUGGGGGUUUUGCUUGCUGCUUGAAGGGGUGGUGGUCUUGGGCAUGUGCGUAUUUAUAAGCCGCAAAGUUUUGUCACGGCGCAGGGCGUCGUCUUGUGGUCGUCUUGCAAGUUGCGCCAAUUCUUUCAUCUUCAUCUUCCAUUAUGUGAUGCUAUGCCUGUUUGUGUGUUUUGUUUAUGGGCUGAUUGAAAAACAAAAGAGGCACUAUUGGUAUGAGAGAGAAUCUGGGAGGAGAAUGUCACGUCGCCCGAGAAAGGAAGUGGGAGGCGUGCAGGUGAGAGAAUAAGGGGCGUGGCGUGGGAGAGUCCAAGGAAAUGGGGCUGUGGACGCUUGCGCUUGUUCCGUUCCUGGCGGUGGGAAUCGCCGUGUGCCGUUGUGAUGUGCGGGGUGGCCAUGAUUGCGCCUCUGUUUGUCUGUCACCUUUUUCCCUUGCGCAUUGCUGCAGCAGCAGGGCAGGGGAGAGGUCUGCAUGCCCUGCCAUGCCCUGCCCUGCUGCUCGUACUAGCUCGCUACUACUCCCUUCCCCCUCUCCAUCCAAACGGGCACUGCGAGCUUUUCCUGGUCUAUAAUGGCGUCGUUGGAGCUGUAGUACGUGCUGUUCGUAGCAACUGUGGGCAGCGCUUUCAGGUGUGGAACUGUGCACUCCAUGAGCCAUUGUCUUCGUUUGCGUGUGUGAACGUGUUGGAGAGUCUGGGAGCAGAAAGUCUGCGUUGAACGUUACUUCUUUGGGUCUUUGACUGGUGCGUCCAUAGAUCUGUGAAUGGGAGCGCUGAUUGCACGCUGCGUAGUACAGUGCGUUCGAGUAACGCUGAGACGGCGUGCUGCUUUGAAGUUUCAACUUUUGGUUAAUUCAGGAAAGUUGAUUGAUCUUAUGUUUUUUGACGGCCAGGUAAACACGGCCAAUUGCACCGGCGUCAAAAAGACCUCUGUCAUCCGAUGCUUUGGACAGUAAUUGAGAUAUUCGUAACAAAUGCUUCACUACCCGAAGAGAAAACUAGUUUUCGUUGGUUUCCGCAUUUUGUGAAAAUAAGAAAGGGCAUGUUUGAGUCAGAGUCGGGUUAUUAUAAUUGGAUUAUCGACUCUAAUAAUUAGAGUGCUAGAUUUUUUGUGGUGGAACCUAUCCAUUUCUUGCCUAGCCAGCCAACUAUCAUGAUGCUACAUGGUAUUUAAGUAACGACCAUUUUCUCAAAUGGUCAAGGAUUAUAUUCUUCUUUGAUUUUUUUUUCCCUUCAAGUGGCCUAGGGUUUUGUAGUCUAAUGUGAACAAUAUCAGGUGAAAACAAAAUAGCAUCAAAGAAUAGAUAGCCAAAAUGCCUAACGAAAAGGAAAAUUGUGGGUUACAUGUCUCAUGAAUUAUUUGAUGAAGUAGAAUAAGAUACGUUCGGUUAUUUGAGAGAAAAAAAAACUGCACAACAUAAAAAAAUAACUGUUUGCCUAGUUGGCUAAGAAAAAAUAUAGUGGGCUCCAUGGCUCCUAAGACUCUUUAAAUAUCAUGUAAAUGGAUAUAAAAGAAGUCAAUAAAUCAUUCUGCUGAUAUUGACUGAAUUAUUUGCUAUCAACAAUUAUCCAAAAAAGAUUUCUUUAAGAAUAAUAUUUCUACCAUGUAAAACAAGAAGAAAAAGACAAAUUAAUCGGAACUUUUGUUUGUGGCUGGAACUAUUGUAAAUGUCAUUGUUGAGUUGAGAUAUUUUUUUUUUGAAGUUCCCUUUUUGCGAGGAAUGAGUAAUCUGAACGUUAUUUGUUUGUGGUUGUUGAUUCCCUGGAGCUGUUAUAGAAGUCAUUAUUGAGUAGAGAUUUUUUGAAGUUCCUUUUUGCAACGAAUGAGUAAAUAGUUGCAUAGAUGUUUGAUGGUAUUAGCAUACUCUGCUUCUAAAAUAAUGAAAGGGAUUUUCCGUUACUAUUUAGUUGUGGACUGAGGCCUGAAGAAGUAUGUUUUGAAACUCGGAAUUUCAUGGAGGAUUUGUAGGAAUCCCAUAUAUAAUAAACAUGUCAAAAUUAAUCCUCCUAUAUUUUCUUGGUCAUUUUCUAGAGCUAGGCUCAUUUAUCUUUAAUUUGUCUAGUGAAGAGUAUAUGUAUAUCCUUUGCUCCAAACAUGUAGUGGUGAGUGGAGUUUACUAAUAUUAUUAUGUGUAGUUAACCUAGAACUAGAAGCUUGGUAACUGAGCCUUAUCUAAUCUGGCCCUAAACUAACUUAUCAUCCAAACUGAUCAGUUGGAGUCUUGUGACGAUGAUAUCUCUGGUUUGUUGUGGAACGGGACUAGUACUGCCGGACAUAUUAUACAUUGGAUGCAUGCGACAUAUAUACAGUGUUGAACUUGUUUAUAUUAAUUUAUCCUGGAUAGCCAAUAGUAGCCCAUAACAUUAACAUGCAACAUAGUAUAUGCAUUUGCAUGUACUGCUAGUUCCCUGCUACGUACGAUCCUGACAGUAGGCACCUAAUCUUUCCAUGCCCCAAUAUUUUACCGCCGCUGUCGCUUCCAUUCUAGAGAGAGAACAAUAUGACCAUCUUGUAAAACAUUCUAGAGAAGAGAUGCAUGGAGAGUAUGGCAAUAAUUUAAGCAGAUUGAUGGGAGCGAGAUAUUUUUAAAGGCAGAUCAUCGAUUGAUGCAUGGGAGCGAGAGAGCUUAGCAGAGAAAAUAAAGAAGAUUGGUGAUUGGUGAUAGGCCGGGGCAGCCGUGGUGCAGCAGCAGCUAGAACUAGAGAAGCUAAAAGGAAGGCUGAUGGCAGGGCAGGGCAGUAGUUUAAGGACGGGUCCAUGCCUGCAGCUAGCUAGCAUCUAUCGACGUUCCUCCGUUGUCGCGGAGCCGGUGGACGCGAAUGGCAUGCGUGGGUGCACUACCCUGCUGAUGCACACAGCAUGCAUUGCUGCCUGCAUGCGACAUGGUAUACAGCUCCCGGCCGGCGUCUCUCCUCUCCUCUCUUCUCUUCUCUUGUCCAUCCAUCGGCAGCAUACGGUCGGUCACUCGCAGCAUGCAUGCUCCUCUGAUCGAGCUCUGCUGGUGUCGUGUCGUGUCGUCGAUGGAUCGGGGCCGGGUUGGGUGUUGCUGCAUUGCAUGCUCCCUAAAGCGCCGCCCUUGUUGCCAAAGUGAAUGCUGCCGACGACGACCGCCGCGCCGCCCGUCUUCUUUUUCGGCGGAGGGGGGCGGCCGGGCACGGGCACGGGCACGGCACAGUCUUCCGGGCAGGGGCAGGGGCAGCCGGGCAAGCCAACACCUGCUAGCGGACGAGAAAUUGAAUCGAAUGGGAAACAAAGAAAAAAUUGAUGGCUGAUGGCUCCAUCUUUCUUUCUGUCUGUCUGUCUGUCGGUCAGUCAUUUUACUAAUUUAUUUGACUGCGCUACGGAGACGACAGUGUAACAUUUUUAUUUGUAUUUAAUAAUUAUUAUUUAACUAUAGACUAAUUAGGCUCAAAAGAUUCGUCGCGUAAACUAUAGACAAACUGUGCAAUUAGUUUUUAUUUUCGUCUAUAUUUAGUACUUUAUACAUGUGCCACAAGAUUUGAUAUGACGGGAAAUUUUAAAAAGUUUUUGAAUUUCGAAGUGAACUGGUCAAAUAUGCAAUGCUUGUACGUGCGCACUAGUUUAUGCCAAUGAUUCAUUUUUCGCGGAUCCUCCGAAUUUCACACCAUACAGUCAGAAUAUAAUUGCUCCAAGACACGUCAAUUUUGAUGCGUCAAUUUGUGCAUGUGGUUCCUGGCACUACUGGAUCCGGCUUCUUUGCCGAGAGCCGCGAGCCCUCGGCAAAUGCCUAAAAGCCCUCGGCAAAGGCUUUGCCGAGGGCCAUAAACGCCCUCGGCAAAGCCUACGGCGCCGUCGAAAAACGUCAAUAUUGACGUCGUCUUUGCCGAGAGCCAUGCUGGCAGGCUCUCGGCAAAGAUUCUUUAUUUUUUUUAAAAAAAGCCUUUGCCGAGAGCCCUGCAGGAAGGCUCUCGGCAAAGAACCCCUUUGCCGAGAGCCAGACAUCCAGGCUCUCGGCAAAGAACCCCUUUGCCGAGAGCCAGACAUCCAGGCUCUCGGCAAAGCUGUAGUUCUUCUGAACCCGGCUUUCUAUCUUUGCCGAGUGCCAGCCAUCCAUGCUCUCGGCAAAGCUGAGAAUUUAGUUUUUUUUUCUGUUUUUUAUCUGUUUUUUACAUGCACAGCCACAUAUGUAUAUAUAUAUAUCACAAAUCCCUUUGUCUAUAUCACAAUCCACAUAUAUAUCACGCAUGAAACAUAUCGAAGUCCACAGAUAUCACAAAUCCACAUAGAUAUGACAAAUAUAACAUUACGUCCAACAUAAACCAUAAGUCACCACAAGUUCAUAACAUAAACCACAAGUCCACGUGAAUAUCACUCCUCGAAGUCGCUAGCGCCUCACCCCUAGUGCUGUGACUCUGACCUGUCGUCGCCGUGGCCUCCGUCGUGUCCCGAGCCUCCAUCUGGCCAAGCCGACCAGGGUGAGUGCCCCCCAGGGUGUGUAGAGCUCGCACCUGCCCACGGCGCCCACAUGGCCUGCCCUGGCACCGACGGGUACGGGUACGAGUACCCGGGGCGCGGAGGAGGGCUGCCGGACAACCCGGGGUGGCCGUGCUGCGGAUGGGCACCAGGCCACGUGUGCUGCGUACUUGGGUGGCCAUAAGUAGUAACCUGCCACCCACUCCUUGGAGAAGGGGUCGGGUUCGAACCCCACGACUGAUGCUACAUAAUAUAAAAGCGAACUCAUUAGUAUCUGCAGGACGGCCACACAAGCCAAAGCAAUAGACAAACAUAUAUACACUCACCGGACUGCCUGCAGGGGCAGGAACAGGGGGUGGAACAGGGGGUGGAGCGAAGAGCGAGGCAGGCAGCGGAGGCGCUGUAGAGCUGUGGAUGGACUGGAAGUAUCCGACUAGGUCCGAGAUCUGACGCUGCGUGUGCUGCUGCUGUGCCUCCAUGUGGCGCCGAUGGGCCUCGUCUCUGGCCGCCAGCGCGGCCGCCAGCUCUCGCCGAUGAGCCUCCUGCAGCUCGUCCUGCCUGGCCCGCAACUCCUCUAGCUGCGACUGCAAUAUUACACCCGCAAUGGUUAAACAAUGCAAAAGGAGAUGUAUAUAUGUAAAAAUAAUGGACGAUGGAUAAAGCUGUAGUUACCUGCAUCGUAGCUAUCUGCUGCACGGAGCUCGGCUGACGAGGCCGUAUGGGGACGUCGGAGGUCGAGCUGCUCCCCUGCCGAACCUCGCGGAGCGUGGGUACGGUGGCCGGGUUGAUUGCGCUGUGGGCAAUCAUGUACCGGCCGUGCUGCUUCCCUCCUCCCGUCCUCAUGAGCAAGUCCGUGUCCGAGACCCUUUGCCGUGGGCCGUCCAGUCUGGCUCUCGGCAAAGACCCUUUGCCGUGAGCCUAACGCGCAGGCUCUCGGCAAAGAACUGCUGACUUUUUUUAUUCUUUUUGAAUUUAGAGCUGAGUUUUUUUUUUUGUCCUUGUGACUCAAUUUCUAAAUACAUUUUAAAAUUUGGCAUUAAUUUGACUUUUUUUGCUAUAUUUAACUAAUUAAUCUUGUUUCUUUAUAUUUUUUCACAUAAUUCAAAUUUCAACUGUAGGUACAUGAAAUAUUACAACUCAAUGAUUCGAAAAAUGAUAGUCAAGAUAUUUGGUGUACGUUGAGGUCGUAACCACAACCACACAUGAAAUCUCAACCCUCUCGCUAACAUAACAUGUCAAGGAAUGUGAGGGAAAAUGGAUUUAUAAUUAUAUAAAUUUCAAAUAAACUCCAAAAAUCACGAAACUUGGCGACGUGUCGUGUUAUCGCAUGUGGAGGCUGUGGUAAAAAAUUCAUAAGGUUCCGAGCAAGUUGCGACACCGGAUGUCUAAAACCCAGACAUCUCCACAUGUUAUCGAAUGUGAUCACAUGCGGAGAUGUCUGGGUUUUAGACAUCUCGUGUCGCAACUUACUCGAAACCUUAUGAUUUUUUUACCACAGUCUCCACAUGCCAUAACAUGACACAUCGUCAAGUUUCGUGAUUUUUGGACUUCAUUUGGAAUUUAUAUAAUUAAAAAUCACUUGUACGACACAUGGAUGGUCAUGUUUUAUAUACAAGAAAUUCAAACUCUUGGGUGAGUUUAUGGAUACAACAUCAAAAUGCAGUCUUGAACAUGAGUAUAAUUUUUUGAAUGACUAUAUUUUAUUAUUUCAUGCUCCUACAGUUCAAAAUUACUUUUUCGAGAAAAAUACAAAUAAAAUAAUUUAAUUAAAAAAUAUAGCAAAAUGUUAUAAAAAGCUCUCAAAUUUGAACAUGUGCUUAUAUACAAUAUGUAAGGGUUACAGAAAAAGUUUGAGUACAAAACUAAAAAAAAUCUUUCUUCUUUGCCGAGAGCUUGACAAGGCACUUGGCAAAGGCCUCCUCUUUGCCGAGAGCCUAACGCCGUGGCUCUCGGCAAAGGUGACGACAACGGUUGCCGUUACCAGCGCUGCUCCUUUGCCGAGAGCCUAUCUUUGCCGAGAGCUAGGCUGUCGGCAAAGCUAGCCUUUGCCGAGGGCUUGCCUUUGCCGAGAGCUUGACCAUCGGUAAAGUUUCUUUGCCGAGGGUCGUUUCUGACUGUCGGCAAAGGCAGUCUUUGCCGAGGGCUAGCUCUCGGCAAAGCUGAGCCCUCGGCAAAGCUCUCGUUUCCUGUAGUGUGGGCUUUGAAUUGAUCGAUGGCAAAAAGCCGUAAUGGAAGCACGUCGCGUCUUGAAUGCAUGCACUAUAUAGGAAUAUAGCUACACAAAAGAAGAGAAAUAAUGACACACAUAGUAGUAGCUAGCUAGUAAAGUGUGUAUGUAAGGCCUUGUUUAGUUCCCAGAAAAUUUUGCAAAAUUUUUCACGGUCCCCGUCACAUCGAAUCUUUAAACGCAUACAUAAAGUAUUAAAUAUAGACGAAAAUAAAAACUAAUUGCACAGUUUGGUCGAAAUAGACGAAACGAAUCUUUUGAGCCUAGUUAGUCCAUGAUUGGAUAAUAUUUGUCAAAUACAAACGAAAGUGCUACAGUGUCGAUUUUGCAAAAUUUUUCGGAACUAAACAAGGCCUAAACCUAAAAGCCCAUGCAUUAUUGCUUUUUAAAAAGUUAAAGCGGUGAUGGAUGGUUUUGUUCAUGGCUCGAGGAGGAUGUGUCCUAGCUAGUUGUUGGUGGGGGAGGUGAGAGUACCUAGGAAAAUUUGCUUACAUUUUCCUGUACAUGCAUGCAUGCAACGCUAAUUGGAUGGAUAUGGUCGGAACAUGCAUGGGUCCACCAUUCACAUCUCUUGGUCCUACACGCACGCCUACUAUUGUGAUGCGUCUCAGCUUUUUAAUGUGCCUGCGUUGCAUGCAUGCAGCUGGGUACGUAAGGACACGCCGCAAGCUGCCCAAACUCUAGCUCUGCUUCCCGCAUUGCAUUGCAUUGUAUCUACCUCGUGGCGCAUUAGGGUUAGAGAGAGAGAGAGAGAGAGAGAGAGAGAGAGAGAGAGAGAGAGAGAGAGAGAGAGAGAGAAGUGUGGUAUAGCUAGCAUGCAUCCAUAUAUAUCCGAUCGACCUGUAGUUCAUGGCACAUUCAUUAGGUUUGGAAGAGUGAGAUCGAGGCAGGACGAUAUGUAGUACGUCGUCGUCCUUCGUAUAAACGGACAUUCGCUCAAUGUUGAAUUGUUGACAGACGACGAUGCGCGCGGCACUUUGUUUGACCAUGCAUGCAUUCAUCCGUGCAUGCAUGGAGCGUCUAUGUGCUUGUCCCUGAAUAAACUAAUUAAUCACUGCACGAACUCGAUCGCCUUGCUGUCAACUUAGCUUAGCUUAUUACAAGUGUGUUAACGACAAGCAAUCAUGGAAAUGAGCUGCAUAUAGACACUGUUCACAAUGCACGUUAUGUUGGAGCACUAGCUAUAGCUAAUUAAUGAGCCAGCAAUUAACAAAACGCCUGCUAAACCAAAAUAUGCAUUUAAGCCAUGUUUCGUUUCCUCCGGUAAAGUUUAACUCCUGUCAUAUCGAGUGUUUGGACACAUGCAUUAAAUAUUAAAUAUAAAUUAUUUACAAAACUAAAAUAAAACUAGAGAGUAAUUUGCGAAAUAAAUCUUUUAAAUCUAGUUAGUCUAUAAUUAGAUACUAAUUGUCAAAUAAAACAGAAAUAUGCUAUAUGCUACAGUACAUCCUUAACCGGCAAGUACAGGCCGGGUGAGGCAUGUCGGAUGCUAGAGAUGGCCAAAUGGGCUAAGCCCAAUAAUACGCAGCCUAAGCACAUAUGGGCCUACUAAAGCAUCGCAUUACAUUAUGGGUCGAGCCACUAUGUGUCUCGUGCCCUUUUUUACCAUUCAAAAUGGGUGCUCUCAGGAUGGAUCAUAAUUAUGCCCCUUUUUAAUUCGAGAGCAAUGUUGAUCAAAUUUCGUCGUAGUUGCAGCACAGCCAAAAAAAAAAACUAACAAAAAGAGCCUGUCAGACAACCCAUGGGCCAUCCCAGCCAGGCAAGCCUGGCCGGAAACGAUCAUCUACAGCACCGGACAAAGCGUCAGAGCCAAUCCUGGCCGUUAAUCACGCUCUGGCCCACAGGUCAUGGCUCAUCAACCAGGCUUAAGUGCUUGCCUCCUUAUUAAUCAAGGAUGCAGCGGUACGAUCCUAUAGAACAGAUCCUGUUCAAGUAAGGUCGU